rnacentral:lncRNA from 1 species
CCGCCAGCUCUAGCGGUACUACCGCUAGGGCCAGCGGUACUACCGCUAGGGGACCUUUUCGCAAGAGGAGAAAGAUCAGAGAGGGGAAAAGCUCCAAAGUUGCAAGAAAAAGGGGAUGGAGAAAAAUUGUGUGCGUGCCGGAUUGAUUCCACCCAAACCUUCCCAAUACGUGUCCCCUCUUAAUAGUUCGGCGUUCCUACCACUCAAAAACCACCAAAGAGAAUCGUAGAAGACACCGUGCAUCUAUUCCACGGAGGGUGCUGAAUAGUCUUGUGCCUUUGUCAUGUAUUAUCUGAAAUGCUCAAUGCACACGAUUAGUCCAUUAAGGUACUGUCAUCAAUCACCAAAAUUACUUAGGCAUAAAUAUGCCCUAACAAUCUCCCCCUUUUUUGUGGAUUGAUGACAAUACCGGAUUUGCAUAGUAGAAAGCAUGUGAUCAUAAAGAUAAUUUAAUAGAGAUAAUUGAAGAGCAGAUGACUCACAACAUAUGAUUAAAAUAGGUCUCACAAUAAAAACAAGUCUCACAUCACACCUAGUAAAGAUAGCAAAUACGAUCAAACCAAGUUCAAAGCAAACACGAUAAAGAUAAAGCAAGCAAAUCCAACUCCUAGACUCUCUCCCCCUUUGGCACCAAGACACCAAAAAGGGGCACACCUAAGACACAGGUGGUCACUCCUCAUCCUCAGACUCAUCCGUGGCAUCUGGAUCCUGCUCGUCGUGCUCCUCCUCAAUGUCCUCCUCAGAAACCUCCUCCUCAGCAUCAGACCAAUUCCACUGGUAACCUUGAGCCCUCAUCCAGUCAGUCUCUAGAGUGAUGUCGUCCUCUGAGUCACUUGAGAUUGCCACAUCAAGUGUCCUUAAGACAUGCUUGUGCCUCUGACGGUUCUCCUUCUCGGCCACAUAAGACUGAUACUGCCCCUUGGCCUGCAUACAAAAGAGAGUCUUCAUCUGAUCCUUCAGCUUCACAGCCCAAGAUGGCAUAGCAGAAGAGCGGGUAUGCGAAGCAGGUCCUCCUCCAGCAGCAGUCUUUGUGUCCGUAUCCAUGGGCUGAGAAGAAGUUGAGGGGUUGGCCCAUUUUUCCUUUACACGCAGCUUGAUAGGAUCAUGCACAAAAUAGUCAGCUUCAACAGGGAGGGGCUCUAUCAGAUAGGUAUCUUUCCACUUCUUCUGAAUAAAGGCAAACAGGUAAGGCCCGUAGAUGGGAACCUUACGGUUCAUGAUGCAAUUCUAGAGCUCAUGGAACAUCACAUCAGAUAUGUCGAGAGGCGCAGUGUCCUUAGUCCUUGCCUCCUCACACAGCAGAAGCAUCUCAGCCAGAUGUCCAUGCACCUCGUCCUUGUUGCCAAUACAAGGGAACAGGGUGUUGCGGAAGAUCCGAUGCAUGAUAUCCAGAUACGUGGGGAGCACACCUUUUUUGAUGUAAAGAUGUUGCAACCUGUCCUUGGGGGUGGAGGUAGUCGUAGCUGGAGCAUGAGGACGCAGCCCAAGAACAUUUUCUUGCCCCUGGAAGUCGACGUUGAGGAGCUGCAUGAACUCCGCCCAGGUACCAGUCAACUUCUAACUACCUGUCAUCCAGGUCAUGGUGCGCUCGUCAUCAGGUUGAAAGUGAACAGUGACAUAAAACUAGGCCACAACAUCUGGGUCGAAGUCCUUUUGAAGGUGAUGAUAUCCGUAAUGCCAAGCUUGUCAACCAAGGAGAGAGCCUCACCAAAGUAGUCCUGAUGCUGCCGAAGGUGAGAGAGGUCGAUCCACUGCACUGGGACAUAGAUCUACUUGAAGGGCACAAUGAUGUCACGGAAGAUCAUUGCCUGUUCCCGGGACCAAACAUGAUCGACGCCCCUGAGCUGAACCUUGUCAUCACCAUAGGUAUCACGGGUACAAAGUGCCACAAAAUCCUUAGGAGGCAUAGUGCGGACGUUGAUCCCUUUGUACUUGGUGGCAACCUUCUUGAAAGACUUCUUUUUAGGGUUCAGACUGGAAGUUGCGGAACCUUCUGAAGUCUCUUGAGUGCGGUACUGCUUUGAUUGGGUGUUACGUGCAGGAUUCGAGCAACGAGAACCACCUGUGACACACAAGACACACACACAAAAAGAGAGACAAAAGAAGUCAUGGCAAUGUUCAAAAAUCAUAAGAAGAAACACACAUUGCCAAGAGAAAUCAAAAAUAAAAUAAAAUGCCCUCCUCGCGGUAGUGCCGCUUGCCCUGGCGGUAGGACCGCUGGGGUCCUGGCAGUAGUACCGCUCCCCGUGGCGGUAGUACCGCUGGGGGUCCUGGUGGUAGUACUGUUGGGGGCCUGGUGGUAGUACCGCCAGGCUGUCGGUAGUACCGCUAGGGGUUGACUUUCAUAUUUGAACCAACUAAAAUUACUAGAAUCGUUUCAAGAGAUCCACGGCUAACAAAUAACCUUAUCACAAGAAUCACCAUAGCCCGAAAACAUGUGGAACUCUAGAUCAUCUAGAUGGAGACAAGCCUUGUCAAUGGGAUCCAAGUUUAGAUCAAAUCCAUGAGAUGUAUGAUAAUGGCUACUACAUCUAAAACAUGGAGAACUAGGGCAUGUCAAGAUAUUUGCAAUGAAGAACAUUAGACCUAAAAUCCCCUAAGAUUUCUCCCUCGUUCCCUCCAAAAACUAAGCACGAAGCAUAUCCAUGGAUCCAAAUCAACAAGCUCCUAACCCUAGAAACAAACACACCAACCAAGAGAAGAAGGGGAGGAGCUUUACCGGGUUCCAUGGCACUUGACGGAGGAAGGAGGAGGGUAGCAAACCCACCAACUGAAAGGAGAGGAGGGGCUCCUCAGAGAGAGAUCAAAAGGGGGGAUUCGGUGUAGAGGGAGAGAGAGCCAUGAGGAAGAAGACAGAGGGCAAGAAAAAAUGGCUCCCCCUCCCUUUAUAUAGUCCAAGGGGUACGGGCGCAUCGGUAGUACCGUUGGGGUCCUGGCGGUAGUACCGCUCCCCCUGGCGGUAGUACCGCCGUCCUGGCAGUAGUACAGCCGUCCUGGCGGUAGUAUCGCUCCCCCUUGAGACAGCCCUAAAAAUCCCUAGUCAAGCCACGAUAGGCUGGGGUCCUGGAGGUAGUACCGCUCCCCCUGGCGGUAGUACCGCUGGGGUCCUGGCGGUAGUACCGNNNNNNNNNNNNNNNNNNNNNNNNNNNNNNNNNNNNNNNNNNNNNNNNNNNNNNNNNNNNNNNNNNNNNNNNNNNNNNNNNNNNNNNNNNNNNNNNNNNNNNNNNNNNNNNNNNUGGCGGUAGUACCGCUACCCCUGGCGAUAGUACCGCUCCAAAAAGCACAACGAGACAUAGGACUUCGUGGAAAUGAUGUGGGCAAUGACUAGUCAGUGUAGACAAAAAGGUAACACCAGCAAGAUAUACUGACUAGUCAUUUUGUAUCCUUUCUUCAACAACAGAGAAAGGUGGGCGGUGGCCGGAGCCACCUAUGUUUGAGACAAAGGUAUGACACCGUGAAUAAUUAUCCUUGGGUUCAUGACCGACGCUCGUCUUUGAAGCACAAGUGCCAUUUAAUAAUGGCCAAAGUGAAAGACUUGAUCGAUUUAUGCAUAAUGGGGGUAGUNNNNNNNNNNNNNNNNNNNNNNNNNNNNNNNNNNNNNNNNNNNNNNNNNNNNNNNNNNNNNNNNNNNNNNNNNNNNNNNNNNNNNNNNNNNNNNNNNNNNNNNNNNNNNNNNNNNNNNNNNNNNNGGAAAGUUCAUUGAGAGAACAACACUCCCCCUAUGUCCAUGUCUACACCUAGAACAAGAUAUAAUGUAGAGUGAGGUGCAAAGUGCCUAGUUUCAAUCCACAUUACUUGAAUCAAUGAUAUUUAGCUCAUGCCUUAACUCCAGGAACCUUGCUUCAUCUAGGGGCUUAGUGAAAAUAUCUGCAAGUUGCUCUUCAGUGUUGAUGAAGUGAACCUCAAUAUCACCUCGCUUGAUAUGUUCACGAAUGAAGUGAUGGCGAAUAUCAAUGUGCUUAGUCUUGCUAUGUUGCACCGGAUUGAGGGAAAUCUUGAUAGCACUUUGAUUGUCACAUAGAAGAGGCACUUUGUCACAAGUGACACCGUAAUCCUUUAAAGUUUGCCUCAUCCAUAGCAACUGUGCACAACAACUUGCAGCUUCCACAUACUCAGCUCAGGAACCCAAAUAGCCCAUUUAUUGGACUCAUAGUAAGAACCAACAAAUCUGGCAUUAACAUGCCCAUCACCAGCACGACAUACAACAUAGGAUCGAUUGAGUUCGCCAGCUGUGUUGGUAGGAAUGGUUUUGCCCUUCUCGACGCUACCAUUCUCCACCUUGUUCCUAUUCUCCUCCUGAGUCCCUUCGCCCUCUUUGACAAAGAUGUCCAUGAGGGAGGGGAUCGUUUGUUCCUGUUCUUCCUUUUUCUUUUCGACUUGUAUGUAAGUCCAAGUCCCUCGUUUCCUACAACACCCUUUUGAUUGCUCAAGAAGUCAUUCAGGUUCUUCUCGCCUUGGAUGCAUGACACAAGGCCCUUCUCAAGUUGAUCCUUCAACUUGGCAUUUUUCUCCACAAGAUGUGCAUGCUCACAACAAGGGUUAGUUGUACAAGCAUUAUCAAUUAUAAGGAAAGGAGGACAAGUAGAUAUAUCCUUGGUAAGCUUUGCUUGGAGUUGAUCAUGAGACUCUUUCAGGGAGAAAUGAGCACCUUUCAAGACCCUGUGAGCCUUGUCAAGUGUGUCAAACUCCACUUUGAGUCUGUCAUGGCCAACCCCAAGGGUAGCCUUUUCAGACUUAAGCACACGAGUAAGAACAAUAGCAUGAUCUAGUUCCUUUUGCAAUUUAGCGCAGUCAUCGUUGUAUGACUCCUCAAGAGCCAAACGAAGAGUGCGCUCCUUUUCUAGUGCAAUACAUAAUUCAGCAAUCUCAUUGGCAUAGUCACGACUAUGUCCUUGCAGCUCGGAGAUGGUCUCCUCAUGAGACUCGAUGAGGUCAUUAGCCUCACCCAGUUGUUCCAAAAGAGCAACAAAGUGCUUCUUGGGUUCUCCUUUGAUCGUACACAGAAAUUUGUCAAGAUCAUGCUCCUUAAGUUCCACAACAUCACUAUCAUCAACACAAUUCAACAAUGAAGGAGCAGUAGUGAUGUUGGUCUCAAUGUUGGGUGUUACCUGAUCAAUACCUUUGGCCAUGACACACUUGGCGAUGUGGUUAUCGUUGGGGGCGUUGAAGAGAGACACAUUCUUGGGAGAAGGGGUGGCAAUGGCGACAGUCGCAGUUGCCACCAUAUCGUCAUCGUCAUCAUCAUCGGAGGGGUACUCUUCAAGUGCCACCAUACCCUUUGGGUGGGGUUUCUUGACAAAGUUGUUCUUGUUUGGGAAUGACUUGGUUUUGUCUUUGCGAUUGAGCUUACCCCCGUUGUCUUCCCUCUUCUCAUAGGGACAUUCUGCCACGAAGUGACUCACAUUACCGCAGUUAUAGCAUGUCCGCACACUUGCUUGGAUUUGAACCCACUUGAGUUGUUCUUGGAGAAGUUGGGUCUUGAGUUCCUCUUGUUGCCCCAGAAUUGCCUUGACGCAAGAGCCAUGUGCUCGUGAUAAGAAUACUUAGUGUCUUCAGGGCAGCUUUCCUCUUCCUCAUCCUCUUCUUCUUCUUUAGAAGCAGCCUUUGCCUUUAAAGCAAGGUUGUGUGAAGCUGUCUUUGACUGAACGCGAGAAAGUGCAUUGUCAGCGGUCUCGUUCAUGAUUGACAUUGCAAUGAAUUCAUCCAACACCUCACUGGAAGACAAGGAGUGGAAAUCUGAUCGUUGGUGAAUGACUGAUGACAUGGCUUUGUUGAAUGGCAUGAUGGCCUUGAGAAACUUGCGCUUGAUCCAUGUGUCAUCCACAUCCUUGCUCCCAAGAUCCUUGGGAGCAACAACAAUAGCAGUCACCCUUCGAUAGAGAUCACGAGGGUCCUCAUCUUCCUUCAUCACAAACUCAUCGGACUUAUCAAGCACCACUUCGUAGUUGGACCGUUGAAUGCUUGAGCUUCCCUUGUACAACACCAUAAUGUGCUCCCAACAGUCCUUAGCCAGAGUGAAGGGGCGCAAGUGAGGAAGAUCUUCAGGAGGUACUGCGGACUGGAGAAUAAACAAUGCGGAGUGAUUAUAUUGAUUGUCCACUUCUUCUCUUGGAGUGAGGUUGCAUGGGUCAUCAGAAUAGUAGCCUUGCUCGAUGAUUCUCCAUAAAUUUUUUGACUUGUGAUUCAAAUGAGACUUAAUAGAAAACACCCGGUUAGCAAAAUCACCCUUAAUAAGCUUAGGAGGAGGACCAACAGGGUUAGGCGUGGUGUAGGAACCGGUCCUCCAUAAACCAUGGGAGGUGGAACUGAGACAUAGGUUCCAGUCCCAUUAUUUUCGAGAGGCAAAAAAGGUCGCAUACCUUUAGCCGCUUCCCUAGGGGAAUUGGCCUCCGAAUCAGUGUUGGCGGGUUUAACCACCAACGCCGGUCCGGGAGAACUUUUAAUUCCCUCAAUUAACUCUUUAAGCAUGGUCUUGACUUCGUUCGUCAAGGACGUCUUGAGGUGGGCCAUAGCCGCAUUCAAGUCGUCCCUUGUGACAUAAGUCAAGCCCAUGGCCUCGGGUUGCCCAUGGGGUCCUCCCUCAUCAUCCUCCAUACUCUUCGGGUGGUGAAACCCUUAAUAAAGAGACAUGGCUCUGAUACCAAUUGAAAGGAUCGAUAUGGUUGACUAGAGGGGGGUGAAUAGGCAACGACCACUUUUUAAUAAUUCUUAACAAGUUAAGGUUAGCAACAUAAAGGUUCUCUAAAAUGACAACUUGGUGAAGAACAUAUAUGAUGCCACUAACUAUAAUCGCUUAGGCAAGUAAGAAAUAGUCUACAACAAUAACAUACACAAUGUAAAGAUUAGAGAUAACCGCAAGUGGAACCAAUGAAGACGAGGAUGUGUUACUGAAGUUCCUUCCCUUUGAAAGGAAGUAUGUCUCUGUUGGAGCGGUGUGGAGGCACAAUGCUCCCCAAUAAGACACUAGGGCCAAUGUAUUCUCCUCAUGCCCUCACACAAUGCAAGGUGUCGUGAUUCCACUAUAGGUGCUCUUGAAGGCGGCGACCGAACCUUUAGAAACAAAGUUGGGGCAAACUCCACACAAAGCUUGGAGGCUCCCAACAACACAACGGAGCUUCACCACAAUGGAAUGUGGCUCCGAGGUGACCUCAACCGUCUAGGGUGCUCAAACACCCAAGAGUAACAAGAUCGUCAAGGGAUUAGUGGGGGAAUCAAUUUUCUCUUGGUGGAAGUGUAGAUCUAGGCCUUCCCAACCAAUCCGUAGGAAAUCAACAAGUUUGAUUGGCUAGGGAGAGAGAUCGGGCACUUUUGAGCUUAGGGAGCAACAAUGGAGCUUUGGAGAGUCAAAGGUAGGAUUCUUGAGCAAGAAGAACCCUUUAUAUAGAGGGGGAAAAUCCAACGAUUUUCCCACUCACAACACGAGCCCAGCGGUACUACCGCUGGCUGCAGCGGUACUACCGCUGGCUCUCCAGCGGUACUACCAUUGAUUGCAGCGGUACUACCGCUGACCCUCCCGCGGUACUACCGCUGGCUGCAGCGUUACUACAGCUGAGACCAUGGUAGCACAAAGAUACUACCGGGCCAACCACUGCCAAGAAAGUCUUCGCAAAAAGUCUGACAUAGUAAAGCCGCAAGGAUGACGGUAUUAAAGUCCUGGAGCGGUACUGAUACGUCCAUUUUGCAUCAUGCUUUCAUGUUGAUAUUUAUUGCUUUUUGGGCUGAUAUAUUACUUGUGGUACCAUAUUUAUGCCUUUUCUCUCUUAUUUUGAAAGGUUUAUUUGAAGAGGGAGAAUUCAGGCAACUGGAAUUCUGGACUGGAAAAGGAGCAAAUCCUAGUCCACUAUUCAGCACAUCUCCAAAUGCCCUGAAUAGUUACGUGGAUUUUUUCUGGAUUAUAUAAAAAUACUGGGCAAAAUAACUACAGGAGGGGGGCCAACAGGCUCCACAAGCCCCCACUCCGCCACCACCCCCUGGUGGCGCAAGGCAAGCUUGUGGGCUGCCUGGCAGCCCACUAGCUCCCCCCUUUUGCUAUAUGAAGGGUUUUGGUCCAUAAAAAAUCAGAAGGGAGCUUUUUCGUGGUUUCGCCGCCGCCACGAGGCGGAACUUGAGCAGAUCCAAUCUAGAGCUCCGGCAGGACGAUCCUGCCGGGAAACUUCCCUCCCGGAGGGGGAAAUCAUCGCCAUCGUCAUCACCAACACUCCUCUCGUCGGAGGGGAGGCAUCUUCAUCAACAUCUUCAUCAGCACCAUCUCCUCUCCAAUCCCUAGUUCAUCUCUUGUAAUCAAUCUGUGUCUCACGACUCCGAUUGGUACUUGUAAGGUUGCUAGUAGUGUUGAUUACUCUUUGUAGUUGAUGCUAGGUUGAUUACUUGGUGGAAGAUUUUAUGUUCAGAUCCUUGAUGCUAUUCAUUACACCUCUGAUCAUGAUUAUGAUUAUGCUUUGUGAGUAGUUACUUUUUUUCCUGAGGACAUGGGAUAAGUCAUGCUGAUAAUAGUCAUGUGAAUUUGAUAUUCGUUCGGUAUUUUGAUAUGUUGUAUGUUGUUUUUCCUCUAGUGGUGUUAUGUGAAUCUAGACUACAUAACACUUCACCAUAUUUGGGCCUAGAGGAAGGCAUUGGGAAGUAGUAAGUAGAUGAUGGGCUGCUAGAGUGUCAGAAGCUUAAACCCCAGUCUAUGCGUUGCUUCGUGAGGGGCUGAUUUGGAUCCACUAGUUUAAUGCUAUGGUUAGACUUUGUCUUAAUUCUUCUUUUGUAGUUGCGGAUGCUUGCGAGAGAGGUUAAUCAUAAGUGGUAUGCUUGUCCAAGUAAGGGCAGUACCCAAGCGCCGGUCCACCCACAUAUCAAACUAUCAAAGUAACGAACGCGAAUCAUAUGAACAUGAUGAAACUAGCAUGACAGAAAUUCCCGUGUGUCCUCGGGAGCGUUUUUCCUCCUAUAAGACUUUGUUCAGGCUUGUCCCUUGCUACAAAAGGGAUUGGGCCACUUGCUGCACCGUUUCUACUACUUGUUACUUGUUACUCUUUGCCUGCUACGUUUCACCUCGCUACACAAUCACUUGUUACCGCUACUUUCAGUGCUUGCAGCUAUUACCUUGCUGAAAUCUAUUUAUCAGAGCCUUCUGCUCCUCGUUGGCUUCGACAGUCUUACUUAUCGAAAGGGACUACGAUUGAUCCCCUAUACUUGUGGGUCAUCAAGACUCUUUUCUAGCGCCGUUGCCGGGGAGUGAAGCGCCUUUGGUAAGUGGAAAUUGGUAAGGAAACAUUUUUAUACUGUGCUGAAAUUUAUUGUGACUUGUCACUAUGGAAACUGUUACUUUGAGGAGUUUGUUCGGGGUAUAUUCACCACGAAUGGAAGCACGAGGAGUUUCUCCUCAACCUGAGGUACCUACUGAAAAUAUCUUCAAUGAAAUUCCUUCGGGUAUGCUUGAGAAACUGCUGGCUAAUCCUUUCACAGGAGAUGGAUCUUCACAUCCUGACUUGCAUCUAAUCUAUGUAGAUGAAGUUUGUGGUUUAUUUAAGCUUGCAGGUUUGCCCGAGGAUGAGGUAAAGAAGAAAGUCUUUCCUUUAUCUUUGAAGGAUAAGGCGUUGACAUGGUAUAGGCUAUGUGAUGAUACUGGAUCAUGGGGCUACAAUCGGUUGAAAUUGGAAUUUCAUCAAAAGUUCUAUCCUAUGCAUUUAGUACAUCGUGAUUGGAACUUUAUUUAUAACUUUUGGCCUCGUGAUAGGGAAAGCAUAGCUCAAGCUUGGGGGACGCUUAAAUCAAUGCUAUAUUCAUGCCCCAAUCAUGAGCUCUCGAGAGAAAUCAUCACUCAAAACUUUUAUGCUCGGCUUUCUCAUGAAGAUCGGACCAUGCUUGACACUUCUUGUGCCGGUUAUUUUAUGAAGAAGGAUAUUGAUCACAAGUGGAAUUUAUUGGAGAGAAUCAAACGCAACACUAAAGACUGGGAGCUGGAGGAAGGUAAGGAGUCAGGUAUGAAUUUCCAGUUUGAUUGCGUUAAAUCUUUUGUUGAGACAUACACUUCUAGAGAUUUUAGCGCUAAGUAUGGACUUGACUCUGAGAUAGUAGCUGCUCUAUGUGAAUCUUUUUCUGCUCAUGUUGAUCUUCCCAAAGAGAAGUGGUUUAAAUAUCAACCUCCUGUAGAAAGCAACAUAGCCAAAACCAAUCUAGUUGAGGAGAAAAUCAUAGCUUUUAGUGAUCCUGUUGUUCCUUGUGCUUACAGUGAGAAACCACCAUACCCUGCUAGGAUAAAGGAUUAUUCUAAAGCUCCAACUAUGAUACGUAGGGGUUACAUUAGACCACUUGCACCCCCUGAAGAGAUUAGAGUUGAACCUAGUGUUGCUAUUAUCAAAGAUCUCUUAGCCGAAGACAUAGAGGGGCAUGUUAUCAAAUUCUGUGAGGACUCCGCUAGAAUUGCUAAACCUCACGCGAAAGACAAACACGGACCCGUAGUUGCCCUGCCCGUUGUUUCUGUUAAGAUAGGAGAUCACUGUUACCAUGGUUUAUGUGAUAUGGGAGCUAGUGUUAGUGCAAUACCCCGUUCUCUAUAUGAUGAAAUCAAAGAUGAGAUUGCACAUGUUGAGUUAGAAACCAUUGAUGUCACUAUUACGCUAGCUAAUAGAGACACUAUCUGCCCUCUGGGAAUUGUGAGAGACGUAGAAGUCCUGUGUGGUAAGACGAAGUAUCCUACUGAUUUCCUCGUCCUUGGUACUGCACAAGAUAGCUUUUGUCCCAUCAUAAUUUGGUAGACCCUUUCUCAACACUGUCAAUGCUCACAUUGAUUGCAUUAAGCAGACCGUCACAGUAAGUUUCGAGGGUGUGUCUCAUGAAUUUAACUUCCCCAAGUUUGGAAGACAAACCCAUGAAAGAGAGUCGUCUGGUAGAGAUGAAAUCAUUGCUCUUGCCUCUAUUGUCGUACCUCCUACGGAUCCUUUAGAGCAAUAUCUGCUAGAGCAUGAAAAUGAUAUGCAUAUGGAGGAGAGAGAUGAGAUAGAUAAAACUGUCUUAGAACAAUAUCAUAUUCUCAAGAAUAAUCUGCCUGUUGAACUGCUUGGGGAUCCUCCCCCACCAAAGGGUGAUCCUGUGUUCGAGCUUAAACAGUUGCCUGAUACUCUUAAGUAUGCCUAUCUUGAUGAGAAGGAGAUAUAUCAUGUCAUUAUUAGUGCUCUCCUCUCAGAGCAUGGAGAGAAGAAGUUACUAAAAACUCUGAGGAAGCACCGCGCUGCUAUUGGAUAUACUCUUGAUGAUCUUAAGGGUAUUAGUCCUACUCUAUGUCAGCACAAGAUUAAAAUCGAUCCUGACUUUAAACCAGUUGCUGAUCUUCAAAGGAGAUUAAAUCCUAAGAUGAAAGAGGUCGUUAGAAAAGAAAUAUUAAAGCUUUUGGAAGCAGGAGUCAUUUAUCCUGUUGCUCAUGGUGAUUGGGUAAGUCCAGUACAUUGCGUACAUAAGAAGGGAGGUAUCACCAUCGUUCCUACUGAUAAGGAUGAACUAAUCCCACAAAGGAUUAUUACCGGCUAUAGAAUGGUGAUAGACUUUCGGAAACUGAACAAGGCAACCAAGAAAGAUCAUUAUCCUUUGUCGUUCAUCGACCAAAUGCUAGAAAGGCUAUCAAAACACACACACUUCUGCUUUCUAGACGGUUAUUCAGGUUUCUCGCAGAUACCUGUUGCACAAUCUGAUCAAGAGAAAACCACUUUCACCUGCCCUUUCGGUACCUUUGCCUAUAGACGUAUGCCUUUUGGCUUAUGUAGCACACCUGCCACCUUCCAAAGAUGUAUGAUGGCUAUAUUCUCUGACUUUUGUGAAAAGAUCGUCAAGGUUUUCAUGGAUGACUUCUCCGUUUACGGGUCUUCAUUUGAUAAUUGCCUCAGCAACCUUGAUCGAGUCUUACAGAGAUGUGAAGAAACCAACCUCGUCUUGAAUUGGGAGAAGUGCCACUUUAUGGUUAAUGAAGGUAUCGUCUUAGGACACAAAAUCUCUGAAAGAGGCAUUGAAGUUGAUAAGGCUAAGGUUGAUACAAUUGAGAAAAUGCAUUGCCCCACAGAUAUCAGAGGUAUACGAAGUUUCCUAGCUCAUGCUGGUUUCUAUAGAAGGUUCAUUAAAGACUUCUCUAAGAUUUCUAGGCCUCUUACCAACCUCUUGCAGAAGGAUGUUCCUUUUUUUUAUGAGGAUUGUGAGGAAGCCUUUGAAAUACUUAAGAAGGCUUUGAUAACCGCACCUAUUGUUCAACCACCUGACUGGAACUUGCCCUUUGAAAUCAUGUGUGACGCUAGUGAUUACGCUGUUGGUGCUGUUCUAGGACAAAGAGUUGACAAGAAGUUGAAUGGCAUUCACUACGCUAGUAAAAUUCUAGACAAUGUUCAAAGAAACUAUGCCACUACGGAAAAGGAAUUUUUAGCACUCGUGUUUGCAUGUGAAAAGUUCAGAUCUUACAUAGUUGACUCCAAAGUCACUAUUCACUCUGAUCAUGGUGCUAUUAAGUACCUCAUGGAGAAGAAGGACGCUAAGCCUAGGCUGAUCAGAUGGGUUCUCCUGCUACAGGAAUUUGAUUUGCACGUCGUUGACCGAAAGGGUGCUGAUAACCCUGUAGCAGAUAACUUGUCUAGGCUAGAAAAUGUCCUUGAUGACGCACUACCUAUUGAUGACAACUUUCCUGAUGAGCAAUUAAGUGUCAUCCGCACUUCACUUAGUGCACCGUGGUAUGCCGAUUAUGCAAACUAUAUCGUAGCCAAAUACAUACCACCCAGUUUCACCUAUCAACAAAAGAAGAAAUUCUUCUUUGAUUUGAGACACUACUUUUGGGAUGAUCCUCACCUUUAUAAGGAAGGAGUAGAUGGUGUUAUUAGACGUUGUGUGCCUGAACAUGAACAGGGAUAGAUCCUGCAGAAGUGUCAUUCCGAAGCCUAUGGAGGACACCACGCGGGAGAUAGAACUGCCCAUAAGGUAUUGCAAUCAGGUUUCUAUUGGCCCACUCUCUUCAAGGAUGCCCGUAAGUUUGUCUUGUCUUGUGACGAAUGCCAAAGGAUAGGGAACAUCAGUAAGCGUCAAGAGAUGCCUAUGAACUAUUCACUUGUCAUUGAACCAUUUGAUGUCUGGGGCUUUGAUUAUAUGGGAACCUUCCCGAGUUCCAAUGGGUACACUCACAUCUUAGUUGAUGUGGACUACGUUACUAAGUGGGUAGAAGCUAUCCCCACUAAAAAUGCUGAUCACCACACCUCUAUUAAGAUGCUUAAAGAAGUCAUAUUCCCAAGAUUUGGAGUCCCUAGAUACUUGAUGACUGAUGGCGGUUCACACUUCAUUCAUGGUGUUUUCCGCAAGAUGCUAGCUAAGUAUGAUGUCAACCAUAGAGUUGCAUCUCCUUAUCAUCCUCAGUCUAGUGGUCAAGUUGAGUUGAGUAACACGGAGAUCAAGUUGAUCUUACAAAAGACCGUCAAUAGAUCUCGAAAGAACUGGUCUAGCAAACUGACGAUGCACUAUGGGCUUAUAGGACUGCUUAUAAGAAUCCCAUGGGCAUGUCACCGUAUAAAAUGGUUUACGGUAAGGCCUGUCAUUUACGUCUUGAGCUGGAACGCAAAGCUUAUUGGGCAAUCAAAGAGCUCAACUUUGAUUUCAAACUUGCCGGUGAGAAGCGGUUGUUUGAUAUCAGCUCGUUAGAUGAAUGGAGAGCCCAGGCAUAUGAGAAUGCCAAGUUGUUCAAGGAAAAGGUUAAGAGAUGGCACGACAAAUGAAUACAGAAACGAGAGUUCAAUGUAGGUGAUUAUGUCUUGCUAUACAAUUCUCGUUUGAGAUUCUUUGCAGGCAAGCUUCUCUCUAAAUGGGAAGGUCCCUAUAUUGUCGAGGAAGUAUAUCGUUCCGGUGCCAUCAAAAUCAAUAACACGGAAGGAAAUUUUCCUAGAGUGGUAAAUGGGCAAAGAAUCAAGCAUUACAUCUCUAGUACUCCCAUAAAUGUUGAGACCAAUAUCAUCAAUGUCAUAACUCUAGAGGAGUACAUAAGGGAUGUUUAUCAGCCUGUUUCAGACCUUGAAAACGAAGAUGUAUCUGUUUCGGUAAGAAAUUCGACCCCGAUACUUUUCCAAUAGGAAAUUUCUUCCGUUUUGGAAUUUUUGGAAAAUUAGAAAAAUAAAAAGCAGUCCGGAGAGCGAACGAGGCAGCCACAAGCCCUGCCACCGCCCCCUACCCCCUGGUGGCGGAGGGCAAGCUGUGGGCACCUCGUGUGCCUCCCGGACUCCGUUUUCUUGCGGAGGACUCCUUCUAGCCCAGAAAAAAAUCAAUAUAUAGUUGCCCAAAGGUUUUGAUCUCCGUAUCGCGCAGUUUUCCUCUGUUUUUGUUUCGAGCUUGUUCUGUCGCAGAUCUAGGUCAAGAUGUCUUCUCAAGAUUCAGAGGGAGAGAGCUAUGUGGCUGACUACCUUGCUAACCCCAAGGUCUAUGGGGACUUGGAACCAUAUGGCUGGACCACUGAUGAGGAAGAGGACUAUGAGCCCAAAGGGAAGGAGCAAACGAGUUCCCAUGAACAGGAGGCUCCUCUACCUCAACCUGCAAACAUCCAUGUGGAGUUCAAGAAGUCAAGCCUCCCUGACCAUAGGAAGAAGCCUAAGACCUUGUUUAUCCCUUCUCGUUUCUUGUAGGAGAGUAAGCAGGAGCUUUGCCAUAGAGUUUUGAAACUUGAGGAGGAAAAUGACGAUCUAAGGGAGCAUAACUUUUUGCUCAAGUGGAAAUUAGACAAGCUCAAGACUGCUCCAACAAUACCACCAUCACCACCAAAGGAAGACAACUAAGAAUUGGUAUGGGCAAUCCCCUUGGCUUCUUCCAAGCUUGGGGGAGUUGCCCUGGUAUCAUAUCACCUUUGUAUCUUUUGCUUUUACCUUUGUUUUAGUUCUUUCCUUUUCAGUUUUUAUUUCUUCUUUUAGAGGAAUAAGUCUUUAGUUUUUAGUUUGAGUCUUUUGCUUUUGUCUCUCCCCCGAUGUAUUCGAGCUUACGAGCUAUAUAAUAAAGAAUGUCUUAGUCAAGGGCUUUGCUUUGUGCCAUGAUCAAUAGUAUGAAAAGAACGAUGGCAUGAAAGAUCAUGAGAAGAUCUUAUGGAAAGUGAUAACUUCACAUAUGACACGUAUGAUGAUUGAAACUUGUUGAGAAUAGAUCAACAUAGACCUCAGUCAUUGUUGCAAUUAAUAAGAAGUAAUAAGGAAAGAGAGGUUCACAUAUAAAUAUAUCAUCUUAGACACUUUUUGCAAUUGUGAGCACUCACCAAACUAUUACAUGCUUAGGAGUAGAUGUUGGACAAGGAAGACAACAUAAUGAAUUGUGUUUGCUUGGUUCCAACCAAUGUUAUAUGAUUAGAGAUCCCUUAGCAUGUGAUGAUUGCUUCCACCUCAUAUUAGCCAAAACUCCCGCACCAAGAAGAGAUACUACUUGUGCAUCCAUAAACCUCCAACCAGUUUUGCCAUGAGAGCCCACCAUACCUACCUAUGGAUUGAAUAAGAUCCUUCAAGUAAGUUGUCAUCGGUGCAAGCAAUAAAAAUUGCUCUCUAAUAUGUAUGAUCUAUUAGUGUGUGGAAAAUAAGCUUUGUACGAACCUGUGAUGAGGAAGACAUAAAAGCAACAGACUGCAUAAUAAAGUUCUUUAUCACACGAGGCAAUAUAAAGUGACGUUCCUCCGCACUAAGAGGACAUGCAAUCAAACCUCAAAAGCGCAUGACAACCUCUGCUUCCCUCUGCGAAGGGCCUAUCUUGUACCUUUACUUUUUGCCCUUGAAAGAGUCAUGGUGAUCUUCACCAAUUCCCUUUUUGCCUUUGUCUUGGCUACCAUCACAUGCUUGGGAAAGAUCUAUAUUCAUAUAUCAACUUGGAGUUGAGUACUCAUGCUUUAUUGUUGUUGACUUUACCCGUGAGGUAAAUGGUUGGGAGGCAAAACUAUAAGCCCCUAUCUUCCUCUGUGUCCAGCUGAAACUUUGACACCAUGAGUACCACGUGAGUUGUAACAAUUGUGGAAAACAAAAGAGAUGAUUGAGUAUGUGGGUUUGCCUUACAAGCUCUUAUUUGACUCUUUCUGAUGGUGUGUUAAAUCGCAAUUGCUUCAAUGACAAUGGACUACUGUUGGUUACUUCUCGGUAAGGUUUUGCUUCAUGCUUUGCUUUGUGAAGGAAUUGUUACUUUCCCAUAAGAAUCUUUAUGAUAUAUUGUUGUCCUAUGUGUGAUCAUGAUGCCCUCAUGUCCGUAUUAUGUUUUAUCGACACCUUCGUCCCUCAACAUGUGGACAUGUUUAUGGAACUUGGUUUUCUCUUGAGGACAAGCGAGGUCUAAGCUUGGGGAUACGUCCAUUUUGAAUCAUGCUUUCAUGUUGAUAUUUAUUGCUUUUUGGGCUGAUAUAUUACUUGUGGUACCAUAUUUAUGCCUUUUCUCUCUUAUUUUGCACGGUUUAUUUGAAGAGGGAGAAUUCACGCAGCUGGAAUCCUAGUCCACUAUUCUGCACAUCUCCAAAUGCCCUGAAAAGUUACGUGGAUUUUUUCUGGAUUAUAUAAAAAAUAUUGGGCGAAAGAACUACCGGAGGGGGGCCACCAGGGCUCCACAAGCCCCCUCUCCGCCACCACCACCCCUCGUGGCGCAGGGCAAGCUUGUGGGCUGCCUGGCGGCCCACUAGCUCCCCUUUUGCUAUAUGAAGGGUUUUGGUCCAGAAAAAAUCAGAAGGGAGCUUUUUCAUGGUUUCGCCGCCGCCACGAGGUGGAACUUGGGUAGAUCCAAUCUAGAGCUCCGGCAGGACGAUCCUGCCGGGGAAACUUCUCUCCCGGAGGGGGAAAUCGUCGCCAUCGUCAUCACCAACAAUCCUCCCAUCAACAUCUUCAUCAGCACCAUCUCCUCUCCAAUCCCUAGUUCAUCUCUUGUAAUCAAUCUCCAUCUCACGACUCCGAUUGGUACUUGUAAGGUUGCUAGUAGUGUUUAUUACUCUUUGUAGUUGAUGCUAGUUGGAUUACUUGGUGGAAGAGUUUAUGUUCAGAUCCUUGAUGCUAUUCAUUACACCUCUAAUCAUGAUUAUGAUUAUGCUUUGUGAGUAGUUACUUUUGUUCCUGAGGACAUGGGAUAAGUCAUGCUGAUAAUAGUCAUGUGAAUUUGAUAUUCGUUCGGUAUUUUGAUAUGUUGUAUGUUGUUUUUCCUCUAGUGGUGUUAUGUGAACGUCGACUACAUAACACUUCACCAUAUUUGGGCCUAGAGGAAGGCAUUGGGAAGUAGUAAGUAGAUGAUGGGUUGCUAGAGUGACAGAAGCUUAAACCCCAGCCUAUGUGUUGCUUCGUGAGGGGCUGAUUUGGAUCCACUAGUUUAAUGCUAUUGUUAGACUUUGUCUUAAUUCUUCUUUUGUAGUUGCGGAUGCUUGCGAGAGAGGUUAAUCAUAAGUGGGAUGCUUGUCCAAGUAAGGGCAGUACCCAAGCGCCGGUCCACCCACAUAUCAAACUGUCAAAGUAACGAACGCGAAUCAUAUGAACAUGAUGAAACUAGCAUGACAGAAAUUCCCGUGUGUCCUCAGGAACGUUUUUCCUCCUAUAAGACUUUGUUCAGGCUUGUCCCUUGCUACAAAAGGGAUUGGGCCACUUGCUGCACCGUUGCUACUACUUGUUACUUGUUACUCUUUGCCUGCUACGUUUCACCUCGCUACACAAUCACUUGUAACCGCUACUUUCAGUGCUUGCAGCUAUUACCUUGCUGAAAUCCGUUUAUCAGAUCCUUCUGCUCCUCGUUGGGUUCGACACUCUUACUUAUCAAAAGGACUACGAUCGAUCCCCUAUACUUGUGGGUCAUCAGGUACUACCGCUGACCAGGGGCGGUACUGCCGCUAGGCCAGCGGUACUACCGCCAGCUCUAGCGGUACUACCGCUAGGGGACCUUUUUGCAAGAGGAGAAGGAACAGAGAGGGGAAAAGCUCCAAAGUUGCAGGAAAAAGGGGAUGGAGAAAGUGUGUGCGUGCAAGAUUGAUUCCACCCAAACCUUCCCAAUAUGGGUCCCCUCUUAAUAGUACGACGUUCCUACGACUCAAAAACCACCAAAGAGAAUCGUAGAAGACACCGUGCUUCUUUUCCACGGAGGGUGCCGAAUCGUCUUGUGCCUUUGUCAUGUAUUAUCUAAAAUGCUCAAUGCACACAAUUAGUCCAUUAAGGUACUGUCAUCAAUCACCAAAAUCACUUAGGAAUAAAUAUGCCCUAACACUAUGAACGUAGCAUGUGAUCAUGUAAUUCAUUGCUACUGUUUUCUGCAUAUAAAUUAUACAUUCCUAUGACCAUGAGAUCAUGUAACUCACUCACAUUGGAAGAAUACCUUGUGUGUAUCAAACGUCGCAAUGUAACUGGGUGACUAUAAAGGUGCUCUAUAGGUAUCUCCGAAGGUGUCCGUUGAGUUAGCAUGGAUCAAGACUGGGAUUUGUCACUUUGUAUGACGGAGAGGUAUCUCGGGGCCCACUCGGUAAUACAACAUCUCAACAAGCCUAGCAAGUAUUGUGACUAUGGAGUUAGUCAUGGGAUCUUGUAUUACGAAACGAGUAAAGAGACUUUCCGGUAACGAGAUUGAAAUAGGUAUGGAGAUACCGACGAUCGAACCUGUGGAAAGUAUCAUACCGAAGGACAAAGGGAAUGUUAUAUGAGAUUAACAGAAUCCUUGAGAUAGAGGUUCAACCGAUAAAGAUCUUCGUAGAAUAUGUAGGAUCUAAUAUGGGCAUCCAGGUCCCGCUAUUGGAUAUUGAACGGAGGGUGUCUCGGUCAUGUCUAGAUAGUUCUCGAACCAGCUGGGUCUGCACACUUAAGGUUCGAUGAUGUUUCAGUAUAGUUGAAUUAUUGAUGUUGGCAACCGAAUGUUGUUUGGAGUCCCGGAUGAGAUCCCGGACUUCACGAGGGUUUCCGGAAUGGUCCGUAGACUAAUAUUGAUAUAUAGGAUGUAUCCAUUUGGCUUCCGGAAGGUUUUCGGGCAUUACCGGUGAAGUACCGGAAGUGAAGAAUGGGUUCCGGAGUUCCACCGGGAGGGGCCACCCACCCGGGAGAGAACCAAAGAGGCCCAAGGGUGGCACACCAGCCCCUAGUGGGCUGGUGGCCAGCCCAAAGAGGCCUAUUUUGGCCAAGGGAGAAAAGGAAAGGGGGUGGGCCAAACCAAAUUGGGAAAGGAGGACUUCUCCUUCCAAGUUGUAUUGGAGGAGGACUCCUCCUCCUCCUCUUGCGUCAGCCGAACCCUAGGGAUUUGCCCUAGGGCACCACCACUCCCCUCCCUCCUAUAUAUAUAAUGGAGGUGAGAGAGGCUUUUGGCACCUCAAACCAUAGCGCAGCCCUCUCUCCCUCCACCACUUCGUGACACCUUAUAGCUAGAUCGAUACGGUACGGUGAAUCCCUGUCGGCAUAGCUCCGCCACUAUCACCGCCAUGCCGUCAUGCUACCGCAGAAUUCAGCUACCUCUUCGUCUCUCUUGCNNNNNNNNNNNNNNNNNNNNNNNNNNNNNNNNNNNNNNNNNNNNNNNNNNNNNNNNNNNNNNNNNNNNNNNNNNNNNNNNNNNNNNNNNNNNNNNNNNNNGCCGAGUCAAUGUGACCAUCUCCUCCUUUUUGUCUCACAACCACCACCACACUCUAUUCCCAUAUAGUGCUAUAUCCAUGGCUCGCGCUCAUGUAUUGCGUGAUAGUUAUAAAAAGUUUGAGAAAGUAAGAGUGCGAAAACAAUUACUUGGCCAAUACCGGGGUUGUGCAUGAUUUACAUUAGUUGUGUGAGGAUGAUGGAGCAUGGCCAGACUAUAUGAUUUUGUAGGGAUAACUUUCUUUGGCCUUUUUAUUUUGAAAGUUCAUGAUUACCUUGCUAGUUUGCUUGAAGUAUUAUUGUUUUCAUGUCAAUAGCAAACUAUUGUUUUGAAUCUUACGGAUCUGAACAUUCAUGUCACAUGAAAGAAGUUGCAAAGGACAACUAUGCUAGGUAGCAUUCAACAUCAAAAAUUCAGUCUUUAUCACUUCCCUACUCGACGACGAGCAGGAGUUAAACUUGGGGAUGCUUGAUACGUCUCCAACGUAUCUAUAAUUUUUGAUGGUUCCAUGCUAUUAUCUUGUCAAACUUUGGAUGCUUUGUAUGCCUUUUAUAUCUUUUGUGGGACUAACUUAUUAACUCAGUGCAAAGUGCCACUUCCUGUUUUUUCCGUGUUUUUGACCCUUUUCAAAGGAAGAUUUGAAACGGAGUCCAAACGGAAUAAAAUCCCCGAAAUUAUUUUUUCUGAAACAAAAGAAGAUCGGGAGACGUGAGAACCAAGGCAGGGGUCCCCAGGGACCCCACAAGCCCUGUAGCCCCGGCCAGGGGGGGAGGUUGGGGCUCAGAGGCUUGUGGGCCCCCUGGAACUCCUCUGCCCUAGGUUUCGCGCCUAUAUAUUCCCUAAAAUCCCAGAAAAAAUCAGGAGAUCAUCGAAAAUACUUUUCCGCUGCCGCAAGCUUCUGUCUCCCCAAGAUCCCAUCUGGGGCAUGUUCUGGUGCCCUGCCGGAGGGGGAUUCGGAUACGGAGGGCUUCUUCAUCAACACCAUGACCUCUCCGAUGAUGCAUGAGUAGUUCACCAUAGACCUAAGGGUCCAUAGCUAGUAGCUAUAUGGCUUCUUCUCUCUCUUGGAUCUUCAAUACAAAGUUCUCCAUGAUCUUCAUGGAGAUCUAUCCGAUGUAAUCUUCUUUUGUGGUGUGUUUGUCAAGAUCCGAUGAAUUGUGGAUUUAUGAUCAGAUUAUCUAUGAAUCUUAUUUGAGUUUCUUCUGAUCUCUCUUAUGCAUGAUUUCAUAUCCUUGUAAUUCUAUUCGAGUUGUGGGUUUUGUUUGGCCAACUAGGUCUAUGAUUCUUGCAAUGGGAGAAGUGCUUGGUUUUGUGUUCAUUCCAUGCGGUGAUCUCACCCAGUGACAAAAGGGGAAGCGAGGCACGCAUCGUGUUGUUCCGACCAAGGGUAAAAGGAUGGGAUUUUCAUCAUUGGUUUGAGAUUAUCCCUCUACAUCAUGUCAUCUUGCUUAAGGCGUUACUCUGUUCGUCAUGAACUCAAUACACUAGAUGCAUGCUGGAUAGCGGUCGAUGUGUGGAGUAAUAGUAGUAGAUGCAGAAAGUAUCGGUCUACUUGUCUCGGACGUGAUGCCUAUAUGUAUGAUCAUUGCCUUAGAUAUCGUCAUGACUUUGCGCGGUUCUAUCAAUUGAUCAACAGUAAUUUGUUCACCCACCGUAAUACUUGCUAUUUUGAGAGAAGCCUCUAGUGAACACUAUGGCCCCCGGGUCUAAUCCACACCAUAUUUUCAGCCUUACACUUUCACUUCGUUGCACUUUCCGCCUUCAGAUCUCACUUUGCAAUAAUCUUGAAGGGAUUGGCAACNNNNNNNNNNNNNNNNNNNNNNNNNNNNNNNNNNNNNNNNNNNNNNNNNNNNNNNNNNNNNNNNNNNNNNNNNNNNNNNNNNNNNNNNNNNNNNNNNNNNUUAGCUUGUGCUUACGGGUGUCGUCCAUAGCACGANNNNNNNNNNNNNNNNNNNNNNNNNNNNNNNNNNNNNNNNNNNNNNNNNNNNNNNNNNNNNNNNNNNNNNNNNNNNNNNNNNNNNNNNNNNNNNNNNNNNNNNNNNNNNNNNNNNNNNNNNNNNNNNNACCAACAUAAGGGCCUUAUUAACCAGAUCGCUGAAGGUCCGACAUUCACAAACAACCAGCUGAUACUGGAGUGACUGCUGCAGUCCUUCCAUAAAGCGUUCCACUUUGGCGGUCUGAGUGUUGACAUCUUCUGGUGCAUAUCUUGACAGGAGGUUAAACUUCUGCAAAUACUCCUUGAUGGAUCCACUGCCUUACCUUAAGGCUCAGAAUUCCCACUUCUUAAUGGUCAUCAUUUCUGGAGGAAUGUGAGCAGUGCGGAAUCCAUCUUUGAACACAACCCACGUGAUGACUUGCCCUGCUCGCAUGAUCUGAAAUCCAUCCCACCAAGCUCUGGNNNNNNNNNNNNNNNNNNNNNNNNNNNNNNNNNNNNNNNNNNNNNNNNNNNNNNNNNNNNNNNNNNNNNNNNNNNNNNNNNNNNNNNNNNNNNNNNNNNNNNNNNNNUCCCACCAAGCUCUGGUUGUGCCUCCGAGACAGUAAUAAGCAUAGAGGACUUUCUCACGAUCAUCAGUGCAUUUGACCAGUGUGAGGAGGUCUUCAAUAGUACGGAUCCAGUCAUCGGCAUCCAAUGGUUCAGUCAUCUCCGUGAAUAUGGAUGGCGUAGUUCGCAUGAACUCAGAGAGAGUAGAGUGACCAUUGUCAUUCCCGUUCUGCGGCGGGUUGUUUACCAAGGCUUGAGCCAGCUGCUGAAUAGCGGCGUUAUUGGCUUGACGUUCCUCUUGGAGAGCUUGAAGGAACUGAUCCAUAAUCAAGCUUUCAGGAGGAGGUGGUGGCGGUGGAACAUCGUCUUGCUGCUCGUGGUGAUCUCCAGCUUGNNNNNNNNNNNNNNNNNNNNNNNNNNNNNNNNNNNNNNNNNNNNNNNNNNNNNNNNNNNNNNNNNNNNNNNNNNNNNNNNNNNNNNNNNNNNNNNNNNNNCUCCGGAGCGCCGUCACGCUGCCGGAGAACUCUUCUACCUCUCCGUCUCUCUUGCUGGAUCAAGAAGGCCGAGAUCAUCGUCGAGCUGUACGUGUGUUGAACGCGGAGGUGCCGUCCGUUCGGUACUAGAUCGUGGGACUGAUCGCGGGAUUGUUCGCGGGGCGGAUCGAGGGACGUGAGGACGUUCCACUACAUCAACCGCAUUCUCUAACGCUUCUGCUGUACGAUCUACAAGGGUACGUAGAUCACUCAUCCCCUCUCGUAGAUGGACAUCACCAUGAUAGGUCUUCGUGCGCGUAGGAAAUUUUUUGUUUCCCAUGCGACGUUCCCCAACAGUGGCAUCAUGAGCUAGGUUCAUGCGUAGAUGUCUUCUCGAGUAGAACACAAAAGGUUUUGUGGGCGGUGAUGUGCGUUUUGCUGCCCUCCUUAGUCUUUUCUUGAUUCCGCGGUAUUGUUGGAUUGAAGCGGCUUGGACCGACAUUACUCGUACGCUUACGAGAGACUGGUUUCAUCGUUACGAGUAACCCCCAUUUGCUCAAAAGAUGACUGGCAAGUGACGGUUUCUCCAACUUUAGUUGAAUCGGAUUUGACCGAGGAGGUCCUUGGAUGAGGUUAAAUAGCAACUCAUAUAUCUCCGUUGUGGUGUUUGCGUAAGUAAGAUGCGAUCCUACUAGAUACCCUUGGUCACCACGUAAAACAUGCAAGAACAAAAUUAGAGGACGUCUAACUUGUUUUUGCAGGGUAUGAUUGUGAUGUGAUAUGGCCAAUGAUGUGAUGUGAUAUAUUGGAUGUAUGAGAUGAUCAUGUUGUAAUAGAAAUAUCGACUUGCACGUCGAUGGUACGGCAACCGGCAGGAGCCAUAGGGUUGUCUUUAUACUAACAUAUGUGCUUGCAGAUGCGUUUACUAUUUUGCUAGGAUGUAGCUUUAGUAGUGAUAGCAUAAGUAGCACGACAACCCCGAUGGCGACACGUUGAUGGAUAUCAUGAUGAUGGAGAUCAUGGUGUGGCGCCGGUGACAAGAAGAUCGUGCCGGUGCUUUGGUGAUGGAGAUCAAGAAGCACGUGACGAUGGCCAUAUCAUGUCACUUAUGAAUUGCAUGUGAUGUUAAUCCUUUUAUGCACCUUAUUUUGCUUAGAACGACGGUAGCAUUAUGAGGUGAUCUCUCACUAAAAUUUCAAGACGAAAUUGUGUUCUCCCCGACUGUGCACCGUUGCUACAGUUCGUCGUUUCGAGACACCACGUGAUGAUCGGGUGUGAUAGACUCAACGUUCACAUACAACGGGUGCAAAACAGUUGCGCACGCGGAACACUCGGGUUAAGCUUGACGAGCCUAGCAUGUGCAGACAUGGCCUCGGAACACAUGAGACCGAAAGGUCGAUCAUGAAUCAUAUAGAUGAUAUGAUUAGCAUAGGGAUGCUUACCACUAAAACUACUCCCGACUCACGUGAUGAUCGGACUUGGGAUAGUGUAGGUGGAUCAUGAACCACUCAAAUGACUAGAGAGAUGUACUUUUUGAGUGGGAGUUUAGCAUGUAAUUUGAUUAAGUUGAACUCUAAUUAUCUUGAACAUAGUCUAAGUCCACUUUGAAUAUAUUUGUGUUGUAGAUCAUGGCUCACGCAAGUGUCAUCCUCAAUUUUAAUACGUUCCUAGAGAAAGCUAAGUUGAAAGACGAUGGAAGCAAUUUUGUAGACUGGGCUCGUAAUCUUAAGCUAAUCUUACAAGCUGGAAAGAAGGAUUAUGUCCUUAAUGCUGCGCUAGGAGAUGAACCACCCGCUACAGCUGAUCAGGAUGUUAAGAACGCUUGGUUAGCGCGUAAGGAGGACUACUCAAUAGUUCAAUGUGCAGUCUUGUAUGGCUUAGAACCGGGACUUCAACGUCGCUUUGAGCGUCAUGGAGCAUUUGAGAUGUUCCAGGAGUUGAAGUUCAUCUUUCAGAAGAACGCCCGGAUCGAGAGGUAUGAGACCUCCGAUAAAUUCUAUGCUUGCAAGAUGGAGGAAAACUCGUCUGUCAGUGAACAUGUGCUCAAAAUGUCUGGGUACUCAAACCGUCUAGCUGAACUGGGGAUUGAACUCCCGCAAGAAGCUAUCACUGACAGAAUCCUUCAAUCACUGCCGCCAAGCUAUAAAGGCUUUGUGUUGAACUACAACAUGCAAGGGAUGAACAAGUCUCCCGGCGAGUUGUUUGCGAUGCUGAAAGUCGCAGAGUCUGAACUCCGUAAAGAACAUCAAGUGUUGAUGGUGAGCAAGACCACUAGUUUCAAGAGAAACGGCAAAGGCAAGAAGGGCAAUUCGAAGAAGAGCGGCAAGCCUGUUGCCAAUCCGCCGAAGAAACCCAAGGCUGGACCUAAGCCUGAAACAGAGUGCUUCUAUUGCAAGGGUAUGGGUCACUGGAAGCGCAAUUGCCCCAAGUAUCUGGCAGAUAAGAAGGCGGGCAAAGAAAAAUCAGGUAUAUUUGAUAUACAUGUUAUUGAUGUGUACUUAACCAGCUCUCGUAGUAGUGCCUGGGUAUUCGAUACCGGUUCUGUUGCUCACAUUUGCAACUCGAAGCAGGAACUGCGGAAUAGACGGAGGCUGGCGAAAGACGAAGUGACGAUGCGCGUAGGAAACGGUUCCAAGGUUGAUGCAAUCGCCGUCGGCACCGUGUCACUUCAACUACCAUCGGGAUUAGUGAUGAACUUAAAUCAUUGUUAUUUAGUGCCUGCGUUGAGCAUGAACAUUAUAUCUGGAUCUUGUUUAUUGCGAGACGGUUACUCUUUUAAGUCUGAGAAUAAUGGUUGUUCUAUUUCUAUGAGUAACAUCUUUUAUGGUCAUGCACCGAAUGUGAGAGGAUUGUUCAUAUUGAAUCUCGAUAGCGAUACGCAUAUACAUAACAUUGAGACCAAAAGAGUUAGAGUAAACAAUGAUAGCGCCAUAUUUUUGUGGCACUGCCGCUUGGGUCAUAUUGGUGUAAAGCGCAUGAAGAAACUCCAUGCUGAUGGACUUUUGGAGUCACUUGACUUUGAUUCACUUGACACUUGCGAACCAUGCCUCAUGGGCAAGAUGACUAAAACUCCGUUCUCCGGAACAAUGGAGCGUGCAAGUGACUUAUUGGAAAUCAUACAUACCGAUGUGUGUGGUCCGAUGAGCGUGGAGGCAUGCGGCGGAUAUCGUUAUUUUCUCACCUUCACUGAUGAUUUGAGUAGAUAUGGUUAUGUCUACUUAAUGAAGCACAAGUCUGAAACAUUUGAAAAGUUCAAGCAAUUUCAGAGUGAAGUAGAAAAUCAUCGUAACAAGAAGAUCAAGUUCCUACGGUCUGAUCGUGGGGGUGAAUAUCUGAGUUUCGAGUUUGGUGCUCACUUAAGACAAUGUGGAAUUGUUUCGCAGUUAACACNNNNNNNNNNNNNNNNNNNNNNNNNNNNNNNNNNNNNNNNNNNNNNNNNNNNNNNNNNNNNNNNNNNNNNNNNNNNNNNNNNNNNNNNNNNNNNNNNNNNGAAUUCGUAAUCAUAUGUGUCUGGGUUAAUGUGAGGUUCAUAAUCCUCUUCAUUGGGGGUAGGUGUUCUAGCAUGUGGGGACACUUCAUAAACAACAUCCCAACCAUUCAGAUUCUCAUCAGUUUGGCACGCCCACUGUAGGUAGAAAACUUGUGUCGCCUGUUGAGCCGUAAUAUAGACAUCAGGCACAUCUAAAUGGGUCAUUCUAGUCUCCUUCAUGUGGAACCAAUAACAUUUGAAGACUACGACGUUCGGUGGGUUUUGACCAUAGCAUUGAAGUUCAUAAAUUGCUUCAACUCUUCCAUAAUACCCGGUACAUCUUUCGCCGAUAGCAGAGACACCACAAUUUAUAGAUUUCCGGUCGGGCAUAGAUAGCACUUUACCAAAGGUACGAAAGUGAUACUCGUUGAUGUUUUUUUUCCUCAAAUGAAUGGACCUUAUAGUCAAAACCAUUAGCAACUUGUCUCAAUUCGGCGUCCAUAGACUCUGAAUUAGCCUACAAGUUUAAUACUAAAGGAUUGUUGCAUUAGCCACAAAUUAGACCAAGAAAUGAAAUGGUCCAUUAUUGAUAAUUACCAUUUGUCUAAACCAAGAGAUGAAACCGGGAUAGCCACCUCCAUGCUUUGCCAGAAGCUCAUACUCUUCGACGGAAUCCUUUUGGAUCACCACUCCAUUUGAGAAUUGGGUGAUGUAUCGACUGUAUGAGAUAUCCGGGAAUAAGAGGAGUUCAAAGGAAUUAGAAGUUGUAGAAAAAUGUAUCGAGAAAUUUCUCGAUGUACGGCCACACUUCCGUUACUUUGUUGAAGAUAUACAAUGAAAUGGUCCACCAUUCUUCGACAACCAACGUUACUGGUUUCAAAGCACCAGCUGGUGCGAGCUUCCCUUUGAAUAGACUGAGGUUAGAUCCACCUUUUUAGGCUCGCCAUAAUUGUACCAAGGCUUCGUAUUAUGCAAACGAUUUCUGGCUUCGUAGUGUGUUGUCACGAAGUUUGCCACCUCCCUAGUAAUGAAUGCCUCGGCCAUCGAUGCUUCAAUUCUAUGUUUAUUUUAACAUUUUGCUCAAAGAGUCUUCUGCAUCCUCUCAGUUGCAAAGCACCAACGAUUUUGCACGGACCACCCAAUGUUGCCUCGGUCGGGAGAUGUAAAAUCAAAUGCUGCAUUGAAUUAAAGAAGCCUGGUGGAAAGAUCUUCUCUAACUUGCAGAGCAACUCUGGCGCUAACUCCUCCAUGUCAUCUACCAUGCCAGGUGAUAACCCACAAGUGUAGGGGAUCGUUUGUAGCCUUUUUUGAUAAGUAAGAGUGUCAAACCCAACGUGGAGCUAAAGGUAGAAUUAAUAUUCUCUCAAGUUCUAUCGACCACUUAUACAACUCUAUGCGCGCAAACACUUACUUUACCUGGAACAAGUAUGAAACUAUUUUGCGGAAAAAUAAAGAGCAAGUAAAUAAAUGUUAGGGAAUAUUUAGUAGAAAGCUUUUUGUGUAACUCAAGAGAAAGAUUGUCCAUAGGAAAUUGAAUAUAACAUGAUAAAUACUUAUUAUGUGCAAUGAGGGAGAGGCAUACAGUAACAUACUUUCCGUACUUGGAUCAUAUGCACUUACGAUUGGACCUCUAGCAAGCAUCCACAACUACUAGAAAUCAUUAAGGUAAACCCAACCAUAGCAUUAAACAUCAAGUCCUCUUUACUCCCAUACGCGCACAACUCCCUUACUCGGGUGUAAGUUUCUCUCACUCUUGCCACUCACUAUAAGCGAAUCAUGAACAUAUUGCAAACCCUCUAGCGUGUAUCCUUCAUGUGUGCACCUCACGGAAGGUGAUGAGGAUAUCAACACCAUCCUUACACCCACAACCCGAGCUGCUAUACAUACUGGACCAGUUACUAGAGCUCGCGCACGCCAAUUGAAUUAUCAGGUACUUUCAUUUCUUGGAAAUACUUCUAAUGUUCAUGAACAUAUGAUGCUGCCUAAGUUAGAUACUUUUGUUGUACUUAUGAAUGAAGGACCUUGCAUGGACAACAAGCAUAUCCGUUGGAGCGGGAUCAAGCAUGGAGAGGAAGGUGCACAUGCGGGAGAGAACAAUGGAGCUGCCACUGGUGAUUUUUGUACUUUAAAGCCACCAUAAGGAGAGCCAGGCCUGGCCCUGAGGGGGGGGAGCGGGGCGGCCGCCCCGAGCCCCCAUCCCAGUCCUAGCCUCCCAAAUAUGUAUGAGGAACCACUGGAGUCACCAUUAGAAGACCUGAAGCUUUUCUGCAUCUGCAUAAGGAAGAUCAAAGCCGAACCGUUUUUCUCUGUUUAGCGAACUGGGCCGUGGGUCUUUUCUCCUUAUCGAUGGUUAAGUGGUUGUUGGGCUAAACUGUUGUAGCAACGCGCGUAGUGUGGUGGCGUCAGGAGGGGCAUGCACGACCUAUAUAACUGGCUGAUGAUUUCAGUGAGUUUUUUGAACCUCUAAUUAUGUCUGAAAGGUUAAUUCCCAUUUGGCUAUAAUGAAGCAGAGAAGACCCAGUGAAUACACUUGACUUUGCUACUUUGUACACUACCAAUUUAUAGUACAUGUUUUGACUCAAAAAAUAAAUCAAUAGUAUUCUACUUGUUAUGCUGAUUAUAUGUUUUCUGAAGCUUUGAUUAUAUAUUUUAUGUCACAUAAAUUUCUCUUCUUGCUAUCAGUUCCACAUACAAUGUUUUUAUUUAGUCUUCCACUAUAACACCCGAUGACAUUGGGUUCACUGGAUAAUAAAGACAAUCUGGCUUGAUAUCCUAUGGAUCACACCUUUUUUUAUCAGAGUACAAUCGAACUUGCUCACAUACACGAGCAUACACUCACUCUUAUGAACGCACAAGCUCACACCCCAUUCCUAUGAGAACCUCUAAAAGAUUGAGCCGACACAUCAUCUUGAGAUUCACAAAGUCCAGAAAAAUGCAAGCUUAAGUCUCAGACUUGAACUCUAAUGAAUAGGAGAUACCACUGUCCUCCUCACCAUUCAAUCACAGUUAGGUUUUUUCUAUGGAUCACAACCAUGACUGGAUGUAUGUGAUCAAUGUUUGUUAUCUUGUGCAUCUUUACCCGAAACACUCACUGACCUCCCUCCGCACAACCACAUCGAGAGGAGACCACAUCGUUCAAAGAAGUAUAUUUAUAAUUAUUUUUAUUUGCACCAACGUUACUAAGUUUAUAUAAAAAAUGAGGGUCUGGUAUUCUAGUUUUGCCCCGGGCCCCCAAAAUCUCUGGGCCGGCCCUAAGGAGAGUAUGAAGGCUUUGGACGAAAUAUUCAAGAUGCCACUUUAUAAAUUUCAUCCAUAUGCUAUUAUAGGUGUUGCACCACCUUAUUUUUGGGAUAGGUGUCGGUGCAGUAAAGACAGGGGUCUCUAGUGCCACAGACUUGUGCACGGGCGCAAAGAGCCCCUCACGUGAGGGCACUAUGGAAUCCAGACAAGACUCGCCCCAAAGGCAUCCAAGGCCCUGGCAAGCCUGUCUUGCCGGGAAGACACCCAAGUCCACGUCCGCCCGAUGGACGUGAUGACCACACCUAGCACAAGGCCCCAGCGAUCCCCCCUCGCCGGGAAGACAGCCGAAGCCCCCGACAAGCUUCCUUACUGGGAUGAAGCACCAAGUCCUCGACAAACACCCUUGCCAGGAUGACGUGGCAGCGCACCAGAGGGCGACCGCCCUUGCCACAGUACCACCGCUCCCCCGUGUUCCAGCGCAUUCCGCAUGCGCCAGCGGGGAGUCCAAGUGUUGAAAUACCUGGACACAUGUCUUCACCAGCAAUUAGCUGACAUGAAGAAGACGUGCAUUUAAUGCACCUCACAGCGGUAGAUGGAUAAGCGCAGUUGUAGGUUUACUGUAACAUGUCAUGAACCUACCAUUGAGCACUGUAGGUGACCCCUUUGCCUAUAAAAGGAGGCCCUUAGCUCAUUCACAAGGGGUUAGACUUUUGGGAGAUUGGCCAAGAAGAGGAUUAUCAUCACUGUAAACGAACAACAAAAGAACGUUUAACGCAAUCAGAUGAGCAUGACGUAGGGUUUUACGCGUAAGCGGCCCGAACCUCGGUAAAAAGGUUUGCAGGGUGUCGAUCGUUUGGUCUGCUCUUACGCUGUUUUGCCCCGCCCUACGAUCACAAGGGUAUCACAUUAAUCCCCAUAGGUAUCGACCUAGCAUCGCCGACAUCUUUGGCGCGCCAGGUAGGGGAGGAAAGAUUGCAUUAAUCUGACCUAGCCUUCAACGCAUGACCUCUCCUUUGUCGCUAUGGCCCCCAAGAGGAGGGGCGCUCCGGCGACCAACGCUCCCGUACCCAGCCCUCCGGCCCCGGCGAGGGCAAGGGAAGGUACGGGUGCAGGACAAGAAGGCGGAGGCCCCAAGCUUCCGCAGCAUUCUGGAGAGCAAACCCAGGCGAGUGGAGUCGCCUGCGGCCGCGGCGAUCAUCCUCCCCCUGGUACGUCGAGGUACACGGCCGCGCGACCAGCCGACGGCGCGACCACGUCCAUGGAUGCGCCGACGCCUUUCAAGGCGCUCACGCGUGCUCACACAUCGCAGCCUUCUCAGGCCACGCAGGACGGAUCGCCCCAGGAGGGUGGCGAUCCACCCCCACCUAAGGGGACCCCUGGACACAUUCUCGAGGUACGCCGAGCAGGCGUACCCGCUCUACUAUGGCGCGGGCUGGCGAGCCACCGCUUGACCAACAGGGAGCCCCUUCUAAUAUGGUUAGAAGUGAGAGCCCCCUGAGGUCUUCGCACAUCUCGUCGCCGCUCGCACCGGCGGAAGCACUGAAGCAGGCCUAGCUGCUCCUCGAUUUCCCUCCACCGACGGACAAACAAAGGGAGUGGAGGGCCACCAUCCAGAGCCUCCUGGCAGUCGCCGACGGAGACCAUCCACGACAGGCAGGGACGUCGAAAUGGCCCUCCAGCAAACACGCUUGGGACCGUGCCGAGAAGGCAGGGGCUCCCACCACGACCGUGCACUCUCCUCCCCGGCAACAAGAAUGGGUCAUCGUCUCCGACGACUCGACCGGGUCUUCAGACCCCCGCCACCACCGCGAUCAGCAGGACAUUUUCCGCGAGCGGCACGAGGAAGACGCCCACACCCUCAUCGAACGGCAGCGCGAGACACGCCAUCAGUCAGAUAUCCACGCUGGGACCGUCGCUGGCGUACCGGAUUCGGGGUACCGUGGCGACCUACCUCACGAGGUAGGCUGCCCAACAUUUACCCGCGAAUUACGGCGCGUCUAGUGGCCCAGCUCCCGUACUUUCAAACCAGAGAUCCCGGAAAAGUACGAUGGCAGGACCCAUCCGUCGGAGUUCCUUAGCAUCUAGACCAUCGCGGUGCAGGGUGCCGGGGGACGAGGCGAGAAGAUACUGGCCAACUACUUCUCGUUGGUGCUCAAGCCCAACGUCAGGUCAUGGUUGAUGGACCUCCCCAAGAACUCCAUCUCCUCCUGGAAGGAACUCUGCCAGGACUUCGUUGGCGCCUUUACUAGCGGCCACCGAGCUCCUGGUCAGGAGAGCGACUUGCACAUCAUCCCCCAGAAGGAGGGUGAACCCCUGCGCAAGUACAUCCAGAUGUUCAGCCGUAUCCAACACAUCCCUGACGUCCACCCAGCUGCCGUCAUCAACGCGUUCCACCAGAAAAUGCGCAAUCGGAAGAUGCCCGAAGAGCUGGCGAUGAAUAAAGUCCGCGAUGUCGCCAAGCUCUACGCUCUGGCGGAUAGGUGCGCAUGUGCAGAAGAAGGAAGGAAGCUCCCUGACGAGAAUGCCGGUGUUGAAGCCGACUCCUACUCCAAAGACGCCGAUGUCCCCACCAAGAGGGGAAAGCAGCGUAACAAGAAACGGAACGACAAAACCGUGUUUGUUGUCGAGGCAACCAACGACGCCGACUCCACCAAGAAAGCGAAAGCCGAGGCCUCCGGCAAGGAUACCGCCGGGUGCGGCUCCUGCCAGGCCUUGGCGUCCGCGGAUAAACCGGAUGGCCCCAGCACCCAGUACUGCAAGAUCCAGUGCACCAAAGGCCACGACCUCCAGCCCUGCCGGCAAGUUGAACAGCUUGCCGAGAGGCAGCGGGCCGAAUACCAAAGGUGCGACAAAGAAAAGGCCUAGCAAGGUGGCGAAGGGUCAGGCGGGAAGAAGGGCACCCAAGGGAGCCGCCCCGGCAAGUUCAAGGGAAAGAAAGCAAGGCCCGCGCAACCACGAGAAAGAACAGAGGCGGAUGAUGAUGAAGAUUGCCCCGACAACGACUCCAGUGACCACGAAUUGCAGAGGGCAACAUACAUGAUGUGCAUUGAAGGAGGCGCCUCACUGCAUUCUUCGCACCGCCAGCUCAAGAAGUGGGCACGUGAAGUGAUUGCAGCAGAGCCCUCCAUCGGCGCCCGCAAGCCCCUAAGAUGGUCACAGACACCGAUCAUUUUUGACUCUGAGGACCACCCAGACCGCGUUACCGUGGUCGGGUGCUUGCCGUUGUUGGUGUCACCGAUGAUCCGCAACCUCAGAGUAACGAAAAUGCCGGUGGACGGAGGGGCCGGCCUGAAUCUCAUUUCCCCCGAUGUAAUCCAGAAGCUGCAGAUUCCCGAUGAAGACUUUGAAGACAGUGGCGCGUUCCAAGGGAUCAAUCCCAUGAAGAUCCAGCCCAAGGGAAAGAUCAUGUUGCCGGCGACUUUCGACAGCGACCAGAACUACCGGAUGAAGAGGGUCAUCUUCGACGUCUCCGACAACCCGUUCGCGUACAAUGGGAUCCUGGGGCGUUCGACAUUGGCCAAAUUCAUGGCGGCCUCACACUACGCCUAGGGUACCUUGAAGAUGCCUGGCCCGGUCGGCGUCAUCGUCGUCCGCGCCAACAAGAAGGACGCACUCCGAUGCACGGACUGCCUCUACCAGGAGGCUGUGGCAGCACCCGUCGCCAAGAUUCCUUCCACAUCGCCCCGGCAAGGACCCCAGGAGAGAAGAGGGACGACAAGGGAGCUUCCCGCAUUGACCUCGGCAAGCGCACCUCGUUAGAGUGUUGUGCUACCAACAGGGACAUACCAGAAGGCUCCACCACGCGAAGCAAAAGGUCCAGGGCUGCUCCGCCUAAGAAAAAGAAAGUGCCAGCCAAGGAAGACGACUCAGGUGGAACUUUCACCAUCAGUUCCACCCUCGACAACAAAUAGGAAAGCACGCUCAUCACCUUCCUACGGGAAAAUCUUGAUGUGUUUGCCUCGCAACCGUCAGAUAUUCCCGGCGUUCUGGGGAGGUGAUUGAGCACCACCUUGCCGUCUAUCCACACACGCGGCCGGUCAAGCAGAAGGUGAGGAAGCAAGUCCUAGAGCGACAAGAGUUCAUUGCCGAAGAAAUCAAGAAGCUGGAAGCGGCCGGCCUGGUCAGGGGUGUCAUCCAUCCCACGUGGUUGAACAAUCCAGUCGUUGUGCGCAAGGCAAGUGGAAAAUGGCGGCUUUGUAUUGACUUCAUCGAUGUUAAUAAAGCCUGUCCCAAAGAUCCUUUCCCCUUGCCGUGCAUCGACCAGAUUGUCGACUCCACUGCGGGCUGCGACCUCCUGUCCUUCCUCGACGCCUACUCCGGUUAUCACCAAAUCUACAUUGUGGAGGAAGAUGAGGAGAAGACUGCGUUCAUCACCCCAUGCGACACGUACUGCUUCAUGCGGAUGCCCUUUGGGUUGACGAACGCUGGCUCGACUUCCACAAGGGUGAUCCAAAUCGGUUUUGAACCCCAACUCCAUAGAAAUCUCGAAGCUUAUACGGAUGACAUAGUGGUCAAAACCAAGGACGGAUCCACCCUUGUGCCAGACCUGGAAGAAACAUUUGCCAACCUGCGCAAAAUUAACCUCAAGCUCAACCCUGAGAAAUGUGUCUUCAGCGUCCCGUCUGGCAAGCUUCUCGGGUUUUUCGUGUCCCAACGGGGGAUCAAAGCCAAUCCCGACAAGAUCAAGGCCAUCGAGCAGAUUGAGGCGCCGAAGCACGUCAAGGACGUGCGAUGCCUAGCCGGAUGUGUAGCUGCCAUGAGCCGAUUCAUCUCCAAGUCCGCUGAACGCGCCCUGCCUUUCUUUAAAAUCCCGAAGAAGGCGGGAUCGAUGAAGUGGACUCCUGAGGCCGAAGAGGCACUACAAGACUUGAAGGAAUGCCUCUCCUCCGCACCCGUGUUGGUGGCCCCUAGACCCCAAGAGCCACUGCUCUUGUACCUGGUGGCAACCAACCAGGUGGUCAGUGCUGCCUUGGUGGCACAAAGGGAGGAGGGCGAUGAAGCCCCGUCAAAGGCAACGCAACCCGACGAGGAUGCGCGUGAUGGCAAGCGAGAGCCCCCUGCUGUGGUAGAAGACGAGCAAUAGAAGUCCUAGCCAACCAGCGGACCUGUGCAAAAGAAGAAGUUGGUGCAAUGCCCGGUCUAUUUCGUCAGCUCCCUCCUACAAGGGGCCAGAACGAGAUAUUCCGGGGUGCAAAAAUUGCUUUUUGGCCUCCUCAUGGCCUCAAGGAAGCUGCGCCACUACUUCCAAGCACAUGAGAUUACUGUCGUCACUCGCUUCCCGUUGCAGAGGGUUCUGUGGAACCCCGACGCAAUCGGCAGGAUAGUAGAGUGGGCGUUGGAAUUGUCCAGCUUCGGCCUCAAGUUCGAGAGCACCUCGACCAUACGGAGCAAGGCCCUAGCGGAGUUCAUUGCAGAAUGGACCCCAACGCCAGACGAAGAAAUACCAGAAUCAACCCUCCUAGGGAAGGAAUUGACUCAAGAGUGGAUCAUGUACUUUGAUGAAGCUUUCUCCCUCCAGGGCGCCGGGGCUGGCAUGUUGCUAGUCGCGCCUACCGCAGAGCAUCUCAAGUACGUGAUCCAAAUGUAUCCCCCCCCAAGAGAAGUAAAUCAACAACACCGCAUAAUAUGAAGGGCUGUUUGCCGGGCUCAUGAUCGUGACAAUUCUUGGGAUUCGAAAGCUCAUAAUCAGAGGUGACUCCCAACUAGUCAUCCGGCGAGUCCACAAAGAUUAUCAAAGCCCGUUGAUGGAGGCCUAUGUGGAGGAGGUGAGAAAGUUGGAAGAACGCUUUGACGGACUAUAGAUGGAGCACGUACCCCGUGCCGAAAACACCAUCGCAGAUGACGUGACGAAGCAAGCAACACUUAAGCUCCCUGUGGAACCAGGGACUUUCGUGCUACGACUGACUAAACCCUCCGUGGCACCAUCGACCAAGCGAGACAAAAGGAAGAAUCUCAACUCCGGCAAGUACCUCCCGGUAGACCUACCAAGGAGCCAUGGUAAGGACCUUGCCGCGGAAGAAGUUGCCGGACCAGAAGCAGAGCCUGCGGGGGGGGGGAUCCCACCCCGACAGAGGAAUUGCCGUUGCUCCUCGCCAUCGAGCCACGCGCUCCGUCAUGGGCACAUCAUAUAGUCGAUACCUCCAAACUGGGGAAUUGCCUGAGGAUCUUUAAGAAGCACAUAAAGUAGCUCGCCAGUCAAGCAUGUACCAAUUCAUGGACGAUGCCCUCUACAAGAGGCGACUAAAUGACGUGAAGCUAAAGUGCAUCCCCGUGGAGGAAGGACUGCAGCUGUUGGCCGAAAUUCACGGAGGAAUAUGUGGAUCACACAUAGGGUCAAGGGCCCUUGCGAGAAAGGCAUUCCGGCAAGGUUUCUUCUGGCCCACAGCCUCCAGGAUGCAACUACACUAGUAACCAAGUGUGAAGCAUGCCAGUUCCAUUCAAGAAUGCUUCAUCAUCCAGCACAAGCUCUCCAAACAAUCCCUCUCUCGUGGCCAUUCUCGGUCUGGGGGCUCGAUAUCCUCGGCCCCUUCCCCGCGUCGCUGGGGGCUUUGAGUACUUGUAUGUCGCAAUCGACAAGUUCACAAAGUGGCGAGAAGUGGAGCGAGCAAGAAGGGUAACAACGCAGUCAAUUGUCAAUUUCUUCAAGGGGAAAGUCUGUCGCUUUGGCGUCCCGAACAGGGUCAUCACCGACAAUGGAACCCAGUUCACGAGCCGCAUCUUCAUGCAAUACGCCCAGGACCUAGGCAACAAAAUAUGCUUCGCUUUCGUCGCUCACCCAAGGAGCAACUAUCAAGCCGAAAGGGCAAAUACCGAGGUACUGCGUGGGCUCAAUACUAGAACUUUUGAGAAGCUGCGCUAACAUGGAAAGUACUGGAUUGAUGAACUGCCGACGGUUCUUUGGUCGAUCAGAACGACGCCAAAUCGAGCCACCGGCCAGACACCCUUCUCCGUGGUCUAUGGGGCAGAAGCAGUUCUUCCCACGGAACUCGCUUAUGGGUCACCUCGGGUGCUCGCUUAUUAUGAGCUCGAGCAAGAGCAAUUGCGUCCAGAUGAUGUUGUGCUCCUUGAGGAGACCUGGAUUCAGGUGGCUGUGCGAGCCUCUCACUACCAUCAAGCCUUGCGCCGCUAUCAUAGCCGCAAGGUACGAGCCAGAAGUUUCGAGGAAGGUGACCUUGUUCUUAGGCACGUUCAGUCGACCAAGAAUACCAACAAGUUGACACUGAAGUGGGAAGGCCCAUAUCGGGUAGUACGAGUCACCAGGCCCGGCGCUAUCCGCGUGGAGACCGAAGAUGGCUUACCACUGCGCAACUCCUGGAACAUAGAGCAUCUUUUAAAGUUCUACCCGUAGGGAGAGGUUGCCGGGCCACCCGACAACCACCUUUCGUACAAGUCUUGACGAAGCUGCAUGUAAUCCUUUGUACAAAGCCAGGCGAAGACCCUGAGCGCAGUCAAAUAAAGCAUAGCGUUCCGCAUCAUCAUAUAGAUCCUCGUGAUAGAAAACAGGCAUGCAUCUAUGACUUUAUGAAACGCAUGAGCUAACAAGGGGACCAUAGCCCCGACAGAUAUUUUCCCUCUAUUCUUUCCUUUGAAAGACAGGUAUUACCCCUGCGCACAAGUUUGCCGGGGGGAGAUAGUGGGGACGCCCACAGAAGAUAGUUGUAACGACUAAGAUGCAACCCUUUCCUUAUUUGGGGGCGAGGCCUCAAAAGGGGAAAGGGGUGCAUCUACGCGAUUCGCAAACGGGAUAUUCAUCACAUUACAUAAAUAAAGAUUAACAAGUAGGGCAUACACUUGCCAUCUGUUAAGAAUAUAUCAUAGCUUACAGACACACAUUAUUCAGAGUAGCAGCAAGUCCAGCUACAGACUUAAACAGAAGAAAACAGGUAAUCUAACACAUCCCGUAUGCUAGCCCACGAUCAUGACCAUGGCCUCAGUCUUCCGGAUAUUUCACAUACAGACGGUCAGAGUCCUCAUCAUACUCCCACUUCAGCUGGUUGUCAUCAGGAUCUCCUGCAUCGGGCGUACCUGAACCUGGUAGGGUUUGAAGUAAUCUGUGAGCCACGGGGACUUAGCAAUCUAAUGACCUUGGUACUGAAUCUAGUCAAGUUAUUAGGUGAGGAAGGUUUAGUGUAUGGGUUUGCAGCAACCUAAGCAUAUAUAUGGUGGCUAACUUACGAUGAACAAAGUAAUUUGUAUGGUGGUCUACGCGAGCGAUCAAAGACUAGAUGAUCACUAAGUAAUCCUGAACACCUACUUACGUCAAACAUAACCCCACCGUGUUCCCGAUCAAGAGUGGUCUUCGAAGGAGACAGUCACGGUUACACACUCAGUGGACAGUUUUAUUGGAGUUACUUUAAGUUGUCUAGUACCGGAUGUUAACAAAUUAUCCAUGUUUGCCACAUAACCGCGGGCACGACUUUCCGAAAGAUUAAACCCUGUAGGGGUGCUCCAACUAGUCCGUCACAAACUACCACGGGCCGCAAAGUAAUCCUCUAUCACGAAUCUCGUGAUCUCAUCGGAUUCUUUAGAGGAAAACCUCAACUUUGAGAAGACCCAAAGUUUCACCGGGAUUCCUAUACACAAGAUAUAUCGCUAAGGUAAGACAAAUCUGGCAAGACCUCCCGACGUGUCGACGAACCUGAUAGGAGCCGCGUAUCUCGUUCUGAGGACACGGUCGGAUGAGCGCAGCGUACAGUGUCCUGAUAGAAAUCUCCCGAGUUGCCCCGGGUUGGCCCCACAGACGACUCUAGUUUGGACCAACACUCAUGAGGAGCACUGGCCCGGGUUGUUGAUUAAUUCCUCGGGGUAGCUAUUCCCUAUGCAAGUUAUUAUUAGGUGAUUAGCAGAUUAAAACCAAUGUUGGGUCCUGCCACACAAGCCUUAACACUGCACGAUUUACCAAGGGGGUCCCCAUAACAACCCCGAACGUGUUAGGAGCGAUCAUUUAUGGAAUCAAACACCGGUAACCGAAACUAAGGCGGCAACAACGGAACAAGCACCCGGCAAAUAGCAGUUUAAACCUAAUGAUAUCAAAAUAGUCAUGUUAUCACAUGAGACAGCUGGCACCUGCAACUAGCAAAGCUAUUCAUUAGAGGUUCAGCAAGCCUACUUAGCCAAACAACAUUUGCUAGCAGAGGGAGGUGUUUGGGUUUCAUGGCAAUGACAGGUGGCAUUUACAUCAAGUGGUAGGCAGCGAGCAUGUAUCGAAGGAAACGUGAUUCUAAGCAUAACAAAGCUAGAUACGGUAUCAAGGUCAUGGUCAUCUUGCCUGUGAUGUCUUCAUCUUGGAACUGCUCUUGAUCUUCCUGCACGUACUCUCCAGAAUCCACGUACUCGCUCUCCUAUCCUGAUGCUACCCAAGAUAAAAUAACAGCCAAUGAACACCAACACAACGUAAUGCAACAAGCAAUAUGAUGCAUGUGUGAAGAAGGAACCAUGCAUCACUAUUCUAGUCACUUUCAUAUGCAUUAGUUUAGUUAAUUGAAUUCUGGACAUAACCUCAUAUUAAGUUAUCUUGACAUGCAUGAAGAUGGCACGAUCAUGUGCAUCACGAUAAAACGAUGCAAAAACAUAUAAAGAACAUAGAGAACGGAGCUACGGAUAAACCGGAAACUACGAAACAAGAUAUGGAGACCUACGGUUCAAAUCAGCCACAACCACACUCCAAUGGCACUCUCCUGGUGUUACCAAGUUGCCACAUGAUCAAACAACCAAAUAUAAGCGGGGUGGUGCAUGGAAACACACCACACCAUCAACAAUGCCCACACAAGCUUCAAAUCAACAAAAACAUGCAAUCUGUUUUUAACAGCAUCAUAGCAGUUUGUCUACAAUAUUUAAAGUAGCUACAGCCAUCCAAAUGAGCCAAACAAGAUAUGAGGCAAAAGCCAUUCAAAAGCUAUACAACCCUGUGCAAGAAGUUAAUACAAAGGAAUCACACAUGCGCAGAUCUACAUGCACAAACUUGGACAAAAUAUCACAUAUUCUGGGACUUAGGGAAAAUCACAGAUUUUCACCAGCUGCUUAUGCUCUGAAGCAUUUUGGCAGCCUCCAAAAUGAUAUCUACAUGAAGCGUAUAAGCAUGAAAUUUAACAGGGAGCUAGACAAACACAAAAGCUCACAAACUUUAGUUUGUUGCAUGGGCUGAUUCCCAACACAUGAGCUAUUGCAACCAAGACAACAGGGGAAGAAAAUAACAGCAGAUUCUCAUACUUAGUGAAAAUCACAGAUUUUCACAAAGCUGUUAGUUUCAGCCAAGUGUCAACUUUGGCAAGGCACAAUAGGUGCAUACAAAUUCCUAUGAACAAAAAAAAGACCCCAUGCUGUAGAGGGGUUCACCCACUACCACCACAUCAAGGAUUCAUCCUCAUAGAGUCAAGGCAUCACCUAAUACAAAGCACUAAACAUGGCAUCAUGACAGAAAAUGAUAGUUUUAUGAAGUUGCUCUAAAGUGAAAUCUGAUUGCACCAAUGGAUUCCUGGGAUGAUUAUACCCCAAAAUCAUAUAUAAUACAUGGGUACUUGCAUGUAACAUCUAGGCACAAAGCUAGCUCGAAAAACAAACCUAGAAUCCAAUAUGACAUAUAGGAACAAUAUCACAUGUAGAUAUAGCACAAGUAGCAACAUCUACACCUACACAUGCACACACACAAGCCCAUACACCACUACAUCACUCCAUAGUGGCAAGCAUGAGGGGUUAGCCCUCAUGCACAAGUGCAUAUGUGCACCCAUGCCCACACACACACAUGCAUGAGCACAUACACACAGAUAUAUGUGCUCACACACACACACUAACAAAAGGUGCAACAUGAGGGGCUAGGCACUCUUGCACAUAUGCAUGUGCAACCACAUUCACUCACACACACUCACAUGUGUGCACACCUUCACUCAUGUGCACACACACAUACACACACUAGUGCACACACCACCUACAGACACUAGUGCACACACCACCUACACACACUCAUGCACUUGCACACACACAUACAUGGCAUCAGCUAAGCCUUGAAGGGAUAAACCCCCUGGUUUUGGAAAAAAAGUACAAGGCAUACUUGCUGCACAAGAAAAAGAAAAAGAAAAAAAAAACAUAACAAAGGGGAACAAAAAGAAAAUGGGGAGGCCCCUGGACUCGUACCCAGGACCCCCUAGCACUGCUACACCAACACACACCACUGGGCUACCCUUCGGCUCUUGACAGAGGAGAGGGAGACAACAUGGUAAGCUCUGUGCACAAGCACUUCUACUAGCGAAAACCACAAUUAAAUAAAAAGGGGGCCUUGCGGGGAUCGAACCCACGACCUGCCUGUGCAAAAUCGCUCCCCUACCAGUCUGCUAUGCAAUCAGUUCUUAAUAGAGAGGGGGGAGUUGCUCUUUUGAGCAUCCCCUCUGCUCCUACUGCACACAAGCGGCGGCCAGAACAGGGGAGACUCCCCGGCGACGCUCUGGCGAUCUAUCACCUACGACUACUACGGCGCGGGACACGGGAGGUUGGGGGAACCCGUUCCUGUGGCUAACCCACGCGGAGGGGCUGUGAGAUGGCGACUCGACGCGGCUGCGCAACCGGCCGGAACAGGACACGACGGCGGCGCAAUUCCGGCGACAGGCGAGACUUUAGACGCGGGGAAGGAAAGGGGGCUCACUUAGGGGUGCUCGAAGGAGUCAAUGCUGCCGAGAAGAGGAGGAAGAUGCGAGGUCGACGGCGACGGGCUUCUCUGCUCCGCCCGAGACGACGACGGCGAGGAGAGGUCGCCAGAGGAGAGGAUCCACCCCUAGCACCGGGAAUGGAGCGAGGGAGGAUCCAGCAUCCUCCCUGCACUCUCGGAUUCGACGGUGAGGCACCGGCGAUGCGGAGAGGCACGAUGGCGAGGAGGCGCUCUCUCUGAACCCGAAGGUAUUCCUCUCUCAAGCUUACCUGAGGAGGGGAAGAAGGAGGGGGAAGAAGGUGCUGGCGGCAGAGUAGAAGGAAGGGAGGAACCCUAGGAGGAGGGGGCACGCACGCCGAGGCUUCAUAGCCCUCGGCUUUAGUGUAUUCACGACGUCAACGGUGCUCUCUCUCACUGAUGCCCCACUGACGGAAAGGGGAGAAGCAACGGCGUCAAAGGAGGAAGAACGAACGGGGAGAGGGCCGCGCGAGAGAAAGAAAAGAUAUAGGCCAGGGGAAAGGAGGAAGCCAGCCCACAUGCGCCUGAUCAGAGAGAAAUAAAAAAAAGGGUUUUCUCAUUUUAAAUAACACCUUCAAACAAAAAUGCACACAGCCACACAGGGGUUUGAAGAAAACAAAAUAAAAAUACCUAGGGCAUAAGGGAAUUAUGCCCUACUUAAAUAAAAUAUAAAUCUGAUUUUUGGAGCAACUAAAUUAAAUUCAAAACAGAAUUUAAUAUGUUGUUUUGUUGGAAAAAACCUACAUGGCUUAGGUUUAAAAACCCCAAGACAACACCCCUACACACACCAGAUAAAACAACAAAUGAACAACAUUUUUAAAACAAGUUUUGACAAGUUAAAACAUGAGUUCAAAUAAUAAUGGAGAAGGGGGGUUUGAGACCUUGUUUGAAAGCAACAUUGUUUUGAAAAUAUCACCACAUCAAACACAAGCACACUAGCAUUCAAAAUGGAUCAAGCAACAACAUCAUCACAAUGGGAUUAACAUGAAAGCAAUGAAUGCCAUGGUGCAAAGGUGAUGACAUGAAAUGACCACAUGAAAUGAUAACUCUUUUAGCAUAGAGAACAUGGUUCCAAAUAGGAAAGGUUCCCAAAUAUGGCAAGGGUUACAUCUGGGGCAUUACAAUAGUGGGGACGCCCACAGCAGCAACAAGAGCCAAGAUAUUCCACUCAAAGCCGAAAGAAGUAAGCGCAACCAGCAGGAAAGUAGCGGACACUUUGAGUAAGUUGUUGGGUAAGCCAUUGGGUGAGCACACUCCUCUCCUCUCUAAAACGGCCCACUUUAUCUCAAACGGAAAAACCUGUGCGCUGGGGAUUGCUGUCAUUAGCCUCCCAAAGUUCGCCUCGAAGCACGCUCAACAAUCAAGGUGGCUUGUCCAGCAGACCUCUUUUAUAAAAAGCGUGCUCGGCGGCCCGCGACGAGGCCUGGAAGGGAGUUAAAUAUCCUGCCGGCAGUGGCGACCCCCGGCAAAGUAUCGUAGGAAAGAGGGGAAGAGGUGAUAGAGGAAAGGCAGCGCUACUCUCCCAAAGGGAGUACGGAGUAUAUUACAAAUAGCAAAGAUUAUGUUCAAAUUAUAGAUUAUAAUAAGAAAAGGCACGGAGGCUACUCCCGACGUGGACCUUGCACCCUUUUAACCUUGUCUAUCUUGUCGACGAUAGGCAUGACCUUCUGUUCAAAGACCUUGGGGUCCACUUCCUUCGGCACACGUACCAUGGAGAGAUUCAAAUCAGGGUUCUUGUACGCCAGCUUGGUAAGCACUUUGAGGAGGACGUUCCGGCAUAGCCGCCGAGCUUCGCCCGCCAACCGCGUCAUCUCUUCGGCCUAGAGACGCUUUAGGGCGUCGGUCAUACUCUCGAAGAACAAGGGCAAGUUGACGCUCAGAGGAGCCUCCGGAGAAGGAGCAUAGCCGGGGCCUUCGAGAUCCAUGGUGGCCAGCUGGUCGGUGAUGGGAGACGCGCCGUUAACAAGGUGCCCCGUCCACAACGUGACGACCUUCACGUAGUUGCCAUGGUCGGCGGAGGCGGCGUCAAGCUGUUCCACCAAGACCUGGAGCUUCCGAGCCAGAUCCUCCUCCUCGGGCACUGCCUCCUUGAGUUCCUCCUCCACAGAGGUCAACUUGGCCCGCAGGGCAUCCAGAGAGGCGUUGGCACCACGGAGCUGGUGGCCUUGUCGGCUGCAGCAGCCUCAACCUCCUCCAAGUUGGCGAGGGCCUUGUCCCUCGUAGAAGAAAGCGUGGAUACCUUGUUGUGGAGGCCAUUGAGCUCUUCCUCGAGCUCUUUCACCAUCCCGGUAAGCCCAUCCUUGGCGACUUGGGAAACAAACGCUCGGUCGGUGCUCUCCUGAAGCUUGCCGGCAAAUACCGAGGCCUGGGCAUCGAGGUCGCUCUUAAACUGGUCCGUCAGCUCCUGAGUACGAUGCGCCACCAGUUUCUCGACCUCCUCGCCCUUGGCGUGGAGCCUCUCGUUGAGCGCCUGCUCCCGGGCGGCGAGCUCCUUCUUAUGAUCUUCCAGGCCGAUUCGUAUGUUGGUGAGGCGAGCCUCCUCGACUAUGUUUCGGCGCCGAUCCUCUUUCUCCUCCUUCCGGUCGUCGUCCGACCAAAGGCUCAGCGCUUGAUCCUCGGCCUGCAGCUCCUUGUAGGCCUCGUCAAAUGAGCUCGCGUUUCUUUAAAAUGCUUCUCAAAUGCCUCCUCCUCCGCCUGGAUGACCGCCUCCCGGGAGUCCAGCUUUUCACUCCUGACGUGGUACAAGGCUUGGAGCUGGCUGACGUGGUCUCUCAUGGAGAGGAAGAGCUGCUCCUCGCUGAGUUUUCCGUCACCAGCCUCCAGCCCCGCCGGGGCGUCACAACAUACGCCGGCAGAGACCUCCGCGUCGAUGUUCUCCCCUUCCACCAAGGCCCUCGAUCGCUGCACCCGCGUUGGUACACGAACGUCCCCUCGCCGGCGCGAAGGUACGCACUGUCGGGGGCGUCCUCGGGACUGGGGGGCUGAUCGCGGCCUACCUCACUGCUGGUGAGGUGGGGUUCUUCACCCUUGGUGGUCUCCCGCCCCCCAGCUGGCGAAGGAUCGUCGUCACGUGCCCCCGAGGCCUCGUCAGGAUCCGGGGUGUCCCACUCCUUCUCCCGCUCCUCGUGGCCGGCCUCGCGGCCAUGGCAUCGGAGGCCUCAACCGCCGCUCCACGAGCGACCUCUGUAACCACAGCAUCGGCGUCCAUCUCCUCCACGGGGGAGGAAUCGGAGGGGCAGGAAAAGGGGAGGAAUGAACGAAAUCAGAUAAAGCAAUGAAGAAGAAAAUUCAAGACUCAACUUACGAAUGCUUCCGGACAAACGCUCACCGUCCCCCUGCCGGUGGAUGGUAGCUGACUCCUCCCCGGCAACGUCCGUUGCCGGGGACUCGUCCUCAAGCACCACGAGCUCAAGCGAUGCUCGCCGAGGGCUUUGCCGGGGGCUGGGCACAAGAGUGGCCGCAUGCGUCGACGGAGCUUCCGGAGCGUCCGCCAAGGGAUUGUCGCUGCUUGGCUCCAUGGCGUCCGCAGGGGGGCCCUCGCCAGCCGACGCGUCGGUGUCCACCAAGGGAUCGCCCUCGGCCGCGCACUUGGGUCUUGCCGGAGGCACCCCUCCAGUCGAGGUGUCCGCUCCCACCGACGGCUCGUCGACAACAAACACCCUAGCCCUCUUCGCCAACCUUUGGGCCAGCGUCUCGUUGUCCCUGCGAACAAGCGACGACACCAAGUCAGCAAGAAUACCAAGCAAGCAAGAAUGAGGGGAGGGGUCAGUGGAUCGAACUCUUACUCAUCCUCCUCCUCCUACGAGCUCAGGAUCGAGAUAUCAUAAUCCACCUCCGCCACCGCGUCCGCUGAAGGGUACACCACCCUCGGACGUUUGACGGGCGCGGCAGGUGGACCUUGCCGGAUCGGGAUAUUGGAGCUGACGCGAUGGAGCACUCGCUUGGGCUUUCCACGCGCCAAGCACUCCUCUGUCUCCUCCUCCCUCUCUUGCAUCCCGGCGGCUGACGUCCGUUCUUCUUGACGGGCCCCGACAGCCGAACCACCAGAACCCCUGGCGAGCUCCAAUUGUGGUGGCGCCUCUCCGUCAGCCGCUUCCCUGCCAGGGGAGCCCGCGCGCCCAGCCCCAAGGGAGAGGGUAUGCUCCUCCAUCCGGCGGGCGAUGUGCGCCUCCUCUGCGGUGGUGGUGUCGUGGACGAGGCCUUUUUCUUCCCGGAUGGGGGCCUCUGACAAUCCAUCGAAGAAGGACGAGACCACCUCAGUCGCGGGCUCCAGCCAGGUCGCGACCACACCGUGGGCGUCACAAUCCGGCAUCAUCGCCGUGAGGUUGCUCAAGGCCGAGCUGUUGCAUAGCGGGAGGACCCCAUGCGAUAGCCGGAUCUUCAGCUCAAAGCUGAACAACUUCUGGCAGAAGUACCCGAGCUCCAUGACCGUUAGAUUUUUGUCCACACCCGGACGCAACCGCAUGACAUCUGCCGUAUUCGCAAAGGCCGAAGCCGGCCUCCCUCCCAUGUGCUGGAGGGGGGCGAUGCGCCUGCGGAGGAAGUCAGCAGCCACCAUCUCCAUCGUCAACCCCGCGGCCCUCAGGCGCAGGAUCGUGGUGGUGGCGAUGGACAGCUUAUCAUCGUCAGGGGACAGAUUGCUCCAGCCCUCUCCCCGGGACCCGAUCCUGGAGGUCCUAGGCUCGCAAAAGGGCGGGUAUCCCUCGUGACGAAUCCAACACAACUUCCCCCGCCACUCGUCCCACUUCUCGCGAAGGGUACCUCCCAGGUACGCCUCCUUGGUCCCGGCCUUUGGGACCCAGGUGAUGGAGCCCAAGAGGGCCUCCUCGCCCUGGACGCGAGGAGGGAAGUAGUGGCAGAAGAGGGCUGUGUUGGGGUGAUCCCAACGAAGUUCUCAUAAAGGUGCGCGAAGAUAGACAUGCACGUCACUGCAUUUGGCGUAAAGUCGAGGAGGCGGAAGCCGUAAGUAUGCAUGUGGUCGAGGAAGAACUCCGAGAAUGGCGGGCAAAGCCCGCAAAAGAAGUAAUCGAAGAAGAAGGGAAACUGGUCCGGACCCCCACUUCCCAUCCCAGGGAGCACCUCCGUGGCCGGAUGCACCUUCGUCUCGGCCGACAGCAUGAUCUGAUAGUGGCUCUUCAAGGUGGCCAUAUCCAGGCCUUUGGGGAAGACAGCGUGCUUCUUCCGCAACCUCGCCAACUCUUUCUCCGAAGUAGCGCCCUUUCCCUCGGAGGUCUUCGGAGCCAUGGCGACGGCGGGAGAUGGACGCUGUCGCACGAGGCAGAACCGCAGGGAGGAAGGGGAGGCGUGAGGAAGCUCCAGCAGAAGGUGGCGACGACGGCGGCGUUUGAGAUUGGAAAAGGACCGGGAACAGUGGGCUAGGAGAGCUCGUGUUUCCCCUUCUUAUGGGGACGCGGGCCGACCCUUUGCCUGCUCCACCAACGGUUCCCCACGCUCGCGGCCGCCUUGGUCACUACGCACACAACUCCCCACUCCGCACGAUCAAUGCGCGGCAUGGGGAAAGGCAACCGCCAAUAGAUCCAGCCGCAAGAGCCCGUACACCUCUUUGGGCCUGGCCCAACAACGCUCUGCACGCGUGUGUGGCCCAGGCCUAGGGGCUCUUGUCGGUGCACUAAAUUCUGGGGUCUCUAGUGCCCCAGACUUGUGCACGGGCACAAAGAGCCCCUAACGGCACGGCACGGCGGAAUCCCGACAAGACUCGCCCCCAAGGCAUCCAAGGCCCCGACAAGCCUGUCUUGCCAGGAAGACACCCAAGGCCACGUCCUAGCACAAGGCCCCGGCGAGGCCCCCUCUUCGGGAAGACAGCCAAAACCCUCGACAAGCUUCCUUGCCGGGACGAAGCACCAAGGCCCCGACAAACACCCUUGCCGGGAUGACGUGGCAGCGCACCAGAGGGCGACCGCCCUUGCCACAGUACCACCGCUCCCCCGUGUUACAAUGCAUUCCGCAUGCGCUAGCGGGGCAUCUAGGUGUCGAAACACCUGGACACAUGUCUUCACCAACACUUAGCUGACAUGACAAGACGCGCAUUUAAUGCACCUGACAGCGGUAGAUGGAUAAGCGCCACUGUAGGUUCACUGUAACAUCUCGUGAACUUACCAUUGAGCAAUGUAGGUGACCCCUUUGCCUAUAAAAGGAGGCCCUUAGCUCAUUCACAAGGGUUAGACUUUUUGGAGAUUGGCCAAGAAGAGGAUUAUCAUCGCUGUAAAUGAACAACAAAAGAACGGUUAAUACAAUCAAACGAGCAUGACGUAGGGUUUUACGCUUAAGUGGCCCGAACCUAGGUAAAAAGCUUGUCGGGUGUCGAUCGUUUGGUCUGCUCUUGACGCUGUUUUUCCUCGCCCUACGAUCACAAGGGUAUCGGUUGAUCCCCAUAUGUGUGGACCUAGCAUCACCGGCACCAGGCCCAUGUAAUUUCGAAAUACCAUAGUAUAGGCUGUUUUUAGAGUCUGUAUGUGUGGGGAAACCGAGUUUAGGGCUGUUUUUGGACCCCUCCUCCAAGGGUCACGAAAUUGCCUCCCUAUUCCCUCAUAUAUACAACCCUUAGGGCACCGUUUAGACUUGGGUUUUGUUUAGAUUACAAGUUCGCCAUAGCUGCAACUUCGCAUUCUUCGUUCUUUUUCCACGACCAGACAAAGGCGUUAUAGAACCCCACCUUCAUCAAUAAAGCUUUCCUCUUAUAUUCACAGUAUCUUGAUUGCAAUCUUUGUUUCUUGCUUGCUCUUCGUUUGUGUGCAGGAAACAGACCUUCGUGGUCAGGUUGAUCGUGCUCCGGCGUGAUCAAUAACCUCUUGGAGUUGGUUUAGCGAUUGCUAAGGUGCAAGGUCCUCACACGUUCGUAGUCGGAUCGUUAAAGUCUACUCCACCAAAAUGAUACCCACGAUCUCAUCGAAAGACAGGGACAACCUCGCCUCUAUCAAGUGGUAUCAGAUUUCCAGGUUGCUCGGUGAGAUUUUACCAGUUUUUUCGUAGUUGGAUCGCAUCUGUUCUUCAUACCUAUAGUCCACGAAAAAGCCAUAAAAAUUAGGGUUAGAUCAUCAUAUCCGAACCAAUAUGAGCCUUUGCAUAGUCUUUUCAGUAGUUUGCUUUGUUGAAUUUGCGGUUACAUCGUCGUGUCGAGUUGCUUGUCUUAGUGUCUAGUCGUUUAGAGUUUCGAGUUCUAUUCAUAGGUUGUCACGCUGCCGCCACACCGUCUUUCAUCAUUGCCAUAUACCACCUCCACGCUACCAUCAUCGCUGCUGCCAUAUACCACAACCACUCCACCAUUAUACUUGUUGCCAAAUACCACCACCAUAUAUCCACCACAAUCCUAGUGUGCGUCCUUUCCGCCUUAGGUUAAUUUCGAGAUACUUUUGCUUUCGGUUUCGCGUUUCCUUACCUGAGUAGGUUUAAAAAAAGAGUCUGGCACGCUUUCCAGAGCACUUUUUAGGCCAAAAUUUCGAGGGGUGAAAAAAAUUCCCUAUCAUUUUGUUAGUCUUUUUAGAGAGUUUUGAGACACUCGCCAUCAUAGUGAUUUUUGUUGCAAUUUUUGGUCGUCGCAGCCCCGAAUUGCUCUAGGAAAAAAAUUGUCAAUUUUUUUUCGUGCCUAUCCUGUUUUUGGUCCUUCGGAAGAGAUUUGAGACACUCGCUAUUAUAGUGAUUUUCUGGAGAAAAAAAGCGCAAAAAAAGAGUGCAAAAAUAAAAUAAAAAUGAGAGUGGCUCUUCCCUUGAUUAUGUGUCGUCGUGACUUUGUUGGUGUUCUAGGCUCGCGUCUCUAGUAUGGUCUAGCCUAGGACCAUCACGGUACCGUCGUUGAGCGUCUUUUCAACUUUGCUUCUCUGAACUGAUUAUUGCUGACCCUUCUUGCUGCCAUAUUAUAAGCGUUCCCAGCUCCACAUACAUCUACAUCAUGUGUUUGACACCACCUGGCAAUCGCUCUAUCCACGCUUUGAGAGUCUUGACUACACCGGUUGCCGAUCACCACCUGCUACCGGGUAAGAAUUGGUAAGAAAUUGAGAUUUGCCUGACGGAUUUGUGACACACCACCACCACCCCCACUUCCUAGUAGUGUGUAGGUUCAUUAUCUUCUGUGUUCCUAUUGAUGCUAACCAUGCCAGGAUCACACGAUGAGAAGAUCGACUGGGAGAACCUGACCAACCGGGAGCUCCAUGAUAAAUUUCAGCAAAUGAUGUGUGACCAGGUACAGGAUUUCGUGACCACCUUUGGAGAGGCCAUGGACAAGCUCGAAGGUAUGGAUAAGAAAUUCGACACCAAGAUGAACGCCAAGUUCAAUGAGGUUCUUGCCCGUUUACCACCACCAGCUGUAGAUUAUAUCCCUCUUCAACCACAACAACAACAACGUCUACGAGGACGACGCGUGCCUGUCAACCAAGUGUAGAAUUUUGGUGUUGCUGCUCCUACUGCUGCUACUCCUCCUCCUGCUACUACCGAGGUUUAUGUGGCUGAGUAGAAUGAGGAUUAUGAUGAUGAUUAUGAUGGUGAUUACGAUGAUGAUGCAGAGGUUGCUCCAGUUCAGCACGAGGAACAACAACCACCACGACAAGCCACCGGUCAUCCACAUGGAUACAAUUGCAAUGGUAGGGAUGCACCACACCCUCAGGUACGGGCUCAUGACCAUCUCCCUAAACUUAAAUUGAAUAUUCCUACUUUCGAUGGUCGAUAUGUUACUGAUAUAUAUCUUACUUGGGAGUUAGAAAUAGAGCAACGUUUUACAUGCCGGAAAUUCCUGAAGAUAGACGUGUUGCUGCUACUGUUUGUUCUUUCAUUAGUUUUGCUUGUGUUUGGUGGUCCGAAUAUUGUCGAAUACAUCAUGCUAAUAUUUCAACUACUUGGGCUUAUAUGAAAACUUCUAUGCGUACUCGUUGGGUUCCACCAUAUUAUCAACAUGAAUUACUUCAAAACUUGUAGCGUUUAAGACAAGGAAAAAAGUCUGUAGAAGAAUAUUAUCAGGAAUUACAAACUAGAAUGAUUAGAUGUGGUAUUGUUGAGGACAAUGAAGCUAUGCUUCCACAUUUUAUGGGUGGAUUAAAUAGAGAUAUUCAGACUAUUCUAGAAUAUAAGGAUUAUAACACUAUCACUCGUUUAUUCCAUCUUGCUUGCAAAGCUGAACAUGAAGUGCAGGAUCGAAAGGCAUUGGCGAGAACUAAUUUUUCUGCAUGUCACACUUUGUCAUGGAUGCCACGAAUCACAUCUACUUCCACACGUCCUCCUGCAUCAGGACCGCGAACUUCAGCCGCCAAUUCCACCAGAGAUAUCAGGAAACGGGCCCCUGCACCACCCUUUGCCAAGAGCACACCUUCCGGGCCCGCACAGAGCUCUUCUUCAUCCAUGGUAUCCACGGGCCAAACACAUGAGGUUAUCUCACGUCGUUGCAAGGGUGGAGGUCAUUAUGCGAGAGAGUGCCCAUCCAAGCGUGUGAUGAUUAUUACUGAGGAUGGCAGAUAUGACUCCGCUAGUGACUAUGAUGAGGAGACUCUGGCUCUUAUUGCAAGUGAAUAAUAGGUGUAGAUGAUACUGAACAAAAGACACACUACAUGGCUGUUGAUUACGCUGACAGGUAUGAAAGCUUAGUUGCUCAACGUGUUUUAAGUGUGCAGGUAACACAGGGUGAGCAAAAUCAGAGGCACAACUUGUUCCAUACAAAGGGAGUUGUAAAGGAACGUUCUGUUCGCGUAAUCAUCUAUGGAGGGAGUUGCAACAACUUAGCUAGCAUGGAGAUGGUGGAGAAGCCGUCUCUCGCCACCAAACCACAUCCUUGUCCUUAUUAUAUCCAGUGGUUCAACAACUGUGGCAAGGUUAAGGAACACGUAUUGUUCGUGUGCAUUCUAGCAUUGCUACAUAUUCUGAUUUUGUUGAUUGUGAUGUGGUACCCAUGCAAGCAUGCUCUGUUUUACUUGGUAGACCAAGGCAAUUUGAUAAAAAAUCUGUACACCAUGGUAAAACAAAUCAGUAUACUCUUAUUUAUAAGGAUCAAAAUAUAACUUUGCUUCCUAUCUCUCCUGAACAAAUUAUGAAAGAUGACAUUGCUAGAGCUAGUAAAGCAAAACAUGACCUACAUAAGAGUGAAAAUCAGAUUGUAGCAAAGGAAUUUGAGAAACACAAUAAGCCUAAUCAAUCAUCAUCUAGUGUUGCAUCUGAAAUAAAACUAAAGAGUAGUUGUUUACUUGCCACUAAAUCUGAUAUUGCUGAUUUGGAUAUUACUACUUCUAUUUGCUAUGCUUUCGUAUGCAAAGAGGUAUUAUUUUCAUUCGAGGACAUGCCACCCUCUUUGCCUCGUGCUGUCAUUAACAUUUUGCAGGAGUUCACUGACAUCUUUCCACAAGACGUGCCACCAGGGUUACCACCUAUUAGAGGGGUUGAGCAUCAGAUUGACUUAAUUCCCGGUGCAUUGCUACCCAACCGUGCACCAUACCGUACCAAUCCAGAGAAGACGAAGGAGAUAAUGCGUCAAGUACAAGAGCUGCUCGGCAAAGGUUAUAUACGUGAAUCUCUUAGUCCUUGUGUUGUUCCUAUUAUUCUAGUGCCAAAAAAGGAUGGUACAUCGCGUAUGUGUGUUGAUUGUAGAGGCAUUAAUAAUAUUAUUAUUCAUUAUCGUCAUCCUAUUCCUAGGUAUAUGAUAUGCUUGAUGAAUUAAGUGGCUCUACAAUUUUCUCCAAAGUUGAUUUGCGUAAUGGAUACCAUCAAAUUCGCAUGAAAUUGGGAGUUGAAUGGAAAACAACAUUUAAAACUAAGUUUGGAUUAUAUGAGUGGUUAGUUAUGCCUUUUGGAUUGACUAAUGCACCUAAAACUUUCAUGAGAUUAAUGAAUGAGGUUUUAUGUGCUUUCAUUCUACGAUUUGUGGUAGUCUACUUUGAUGAUAUACUGAUUUAUAGUAGUUCUUUUGAGGAACAUUUGGAUCAAUUGUGUGCUGUUUUUAUUGCUGUACAUGAUGCACGUUUGUUUGAUAACCUUGGGAAGUGCACCUUUUGCACAGACCGAGUAUCUUUUCCUUGCUAUGUUGUUACUCCACAGGGAAUUGAAGUUGAUAAAGCCAAGAUUAAAGCUAUUGAGAGUUGGCCGCAGCCCAAAACGGUCACACAAGUGAGGAGUUUCCUUGGACUCGCCGGGUUUUAUAGGCGUUUUGUGAGAGAUUUCAGCACCAUUGCUGCACCUCUCAAGGAGCUUACAAAGAAGGAUGUGCCUUAUUCUUGGGGUACCGCACAGGAAGAAGCCUUCACGGUUUUGAAAGAUAAGUUAACACAUGCUCCUGUACUCCUACUUCCUGAUUUUAAUAAGACUUUCGAGCUUGAAUGUGAUGCUAGUGGAAUUGGAUUAGGAGGUGUGUUAUUACAAGAUGGUAAACUUGUUGCAUAGUUUUUUGAAAAAUUAAGUGGGCCUAGUCUGAAUUAUUCUACUUAUGAUAAUGAAUUAUAUGCUCUUGUUCGGACUUUUGAAACAUGGCAACAUUAUUUGUGGCCCAAAGAAUUUGGCAUACAUUCAUCAUGAAUCUUUGAAACAUAUUAAAAGUCAAGCAAAACUGAACCGUACACAUACUAAAUGGGUUAAAUUCAUUGAGACUUUCCCAUAUGUCAUUAAACACAAGAAGGGUAAAGAAAUUGUUAUUGCUGAUGCUUUGUCUCGUCGUUAUACAAUUUUUUCACAACUUGACUUUAAAAUAUUUGGUUUGGAGACCAUCAAAGAUCAAUAUGUGCAUGAUGCCGAUUUCAAAGAUGUGUUGGAGAAUUGAAAAGAAGGGAGAACAUGGAACAAGUUCAUCAUUAAUGAUGGAUUUGUGUUUCGUGCUAACAAGCUAUGCAUUUCAGCUAGCUCCGUUCGUAUUUUGUUGUUACAGGAGGCGCAUGGAGGAGGAUUGAUGGGACCCUUUGGCGUAAAGAAGACGAAUGACGUACUUGCUACACAUUUCUUUUGGCCAAUGAUGCAACGGGAUGUUGAGCGUUUUGUUGCUCGCUGCACGACAUGCCAAAAAGCUAAGUCACGACUCAAUCCUCAUGCUUUAUAUAUGCCUUUGCCUGUACCUAGUGUUCCUUGGGAGGAUAUAUCUAUGGACUUUGUUUUAGGUUUACCUUGAACAAAGAAGGGGAGGGAUAGCAUAAUUGUUGUCAUGGACAGAUUUUCAAAAAUGGCACACUUUAUACCAUGUCAUAAAAGUGAUGAUGCUGCUAAUGUGGCUGAUUUGUUCUUUCGUGAAAUUAUUCGCUUGCAUGGUGUGCCAAAUACGAUUGUUUCAGACCGUGAUGCUAAAUUUCUUAGCCAUUUUUGGCAAUGUUUAUGGGCUAAUUUGGGGACAAAAUUGCUUUUUAGUACUACAUGUCACCCCCAAACUGAUGGACAAACUGAAGUAGUCAAUAGAUCUUUGUCUACUAUGCUUAGGGCUGUUUUGAAGAACAAUCUAAAACUGUGGGAAGAAUGCUUGCCUCAUAUUGAAUUUGCUUAUAAUCAUUCGAUGCAUUCUACUACAAAGAUGUGUCCUUUCGAAGUUGUGUAUGGUUUUCUACCUCAUGCACCUAUUGAUUUGUUACCUCUUCCAUCUUUGGAGAAGGUUAAUUUUGGUGCUAAAGAACGUGCUGAUUUGAUAUUAAAGAUGCAUGAGUUAACUACGGAAAACAUUGAGUGCAUGAAUGCUAAAUAUAAACUUGCUGGAGAUAAGGAUAGAAAACAUGUUGUCUUUGCACCUGGAGAUCUUGUUUGGUUACAUUUGUGUAAGGACAUGUUUCCUGAUUUGCGCAAGUCAAAGUUAAUGCCGCGUGUUGAUGGUCCUUUCAAAGUGUUAGAGAAAAUAAAUGAUAAUGCAUAUAGACAUCAGCUGCCUGCAGAUUUUGGGGUUAAUCCCACUUUUAACAUUGCAGAUUUGAAGCCAUAUUUUGGUGAGGAACAUGAGCUUUCGUCGAGGAUGACUUCAGUUCAAGAAGGGGAGGAUGAUGAGGACAUCAACACCAUUGUUACACCCACAACCCUAGAUGCUAUACAUACAGGACCACUUACUAGAGCUCGCGCACGCCAAUUGAAUUAUCAGGAACUUUCGUUUCUUGGAAAUACGUCUAAUGUUCAUGAACAUAUGAUGCUGCCUAAGUUAGAUACUUUUGUUGUACUUAUGAAUGAACGACCUAGCAUGGACAAGAAGGAUAUCCGUUGGAGCGGGAUCAAGCAUGGAGAAGAAGGUGCAUGCGCGGGAGAGAACAAUGGAGCUCCCACUUGUGAUUUUCGUACUUUAAAGCCACCAUAAGGAGAGCAUGAAGGCUUUGGAUGAAAUAUUCAAGACGCCACUUUAUAAAUUUCGUCCAUAGGCUAUUAUAGGUGUUGCACCACCUUAUUUUUGGGCCACACCCAUGUAAUUUCGAAAUACGAUAGUAUAACCUGUUUUAGAGUCUGUAUAUGUGGGGAAACCGAGUUUAGGGGUGUUUAUGGACCCCUCCUCCAAGGGUCAUGAAAUUGCCUCCCUAUUCCCACAUAUAUACAACCCUUAGGGAACCGUUUAGACUUGGGUUCUGUUUAGAUUACAAGUUCGCCAUAGCUGCAACUUCGCGUUCUUCGUUUGUGUUCCACGACCAGACAAAGGCGUCACAGAACCCCACCUUCAUUUAUAAAGCUUUCCUCUUAUAUUCGCAAUAUCUUGAUUGCAAUCUUGGUUUCUUGCUUGUUCUUCAUUUGCGUGCAGGAAACAUACCUUCAUGGUCAGGUUGAUCGUGCUCCGGCGUGAUCAAAAACCUCUCGGAGUUGGUUUACCGAUUGCUAAGGCGCGACGUCCUCACGCAUUCGUAGUCGGGUCGUCAAAGUAUACUCCACCAAAACGAUAUCCACGAUCUCAUCGAAAGACAGGGACAACCUCGCCUCUAUCAGAAGGCACCUUAGGACAACACCAUAUCCUCACACAAGUCAUAUCAAUAACAUCAUAUCACAAUUAACCCAUAGGAAAAAACGGAUCUACUCAAACAUCAUAAGAUAACCACAUAUCAUUGGGAAAUAGUACGUAGUGUUGAGCACCAUGUUUAAGUAGAGAGUUAUAGUGGGAAAAAGGUGUUACACUGCUGCAUAUAAGGGGAGAGAGUUGGCAUUGAUGGCGACAAGAUUGUUGAUGUAGAUCGCCAUGAUGCUCCUUGCCCCGGCGGCAGUCCGGUGCCACUAGGAGAGAGAGGGGGGGAGCCCCCUCCAUCUUCUUCUUCCUUGCCCCCACCCCGUAGAUGGGAGGAGAGUUCCCCCUCUGGUCCGUGGCCUCCAUGGCGGUGGAGGGGAAGGAACCCCUCCGAGAUUGGACCCCCCUCUCUGUUCUCUUUUAUUUCACGUUCGUGUUUCUAGCCCUUCACGGUUUCUUAAAUUCUCAGAGAUCCGUAACUCCGAUCGGGUUGAAGUUUUGAGGGGAUUUUUAUCCAGAAAUUAGCUUUCUUGUGGCCGAGGAAGAUCCCCAGCCAACUUAAGGGGCGCGCACUGGACACCACCCUGUGCCAGGGGGACCACACGCGCCCUGGUUUCUAGUGGAGGUUGCGGGCCUCCAUUUGCGUUGAUUCUGCCUCCCAAAAAUCAAAUAUAUACCAAAAUAAUUCUCCGUACAUUUUUAUCUGUUGGAAAUAUGCCCUAGAGGCAAUAAUAAAUUAGUUAUUAUUAUAUUUCUUAGUUCAUGAUAAUCGUUUAUUAUCCAUGCUAUAAUUGUAUUGAUUGGAAACACAAUACUUGUGUGGAUACAUAGACAAAACACUGUCCCUAGUAAGCCUCUAGUUGACUAGCUCGUUGAUCAAAGAUGGUCAAGGUUUCCUGGCCAUAGGCAAGUGUUGUCACUUGAUAACGGGAUCACAUCAUUAGGAGAAUCAUGUGAUGGACUAGACCCAAACUAAUAAGACGUAGCAUGUUGAUCGUGUCAUUUUGUUGCUACUGUUUUCUGCGUGUCAAGUAUUUGUUCCUAUGACCAUGAGAUCAUAUAACUCACUAACACCGGAGGAAUGCUUUGUGUGUAUCAAACGUCGCAACGUAACUGGGUGACUAUAAAGAUGCUCUACAGGUAUCUCCGAAGGUGUUAGUUGAGUUAGUAUGGAUCGAGACUGGGAUUUGUCACUCCGUGUGACGGAGAGGUAUCUCGGGGCCCACUCGGUAAUACAACAUCACACACAAGCCUUGCAAGCAAUGUGACUUAGUGUAAGUUGCGGGAUCUUGUAUUACGGAACGAGUAAAGAGACUUGCCGGUAAACGAGAUUGAAAUAGGUAUGCGGAUACUGACGAUCGAAUCUCGGGCAAGUAACAUACCGAAGGACAAAGGGAAUGACAUACUGGAUUAUAUGAAUCCUUGGCACUGAGGUUCAAACGAUAAGAUCUUCGUAGAAUAUGUAGGAUCCAAUAUGGGCAUCCAGGUCCCGCUAUUGGAUAUUGACCGAGGAGUCACUCGGGUCAUGUCUACAUAGUUCUCGAACCCGCAGGGUCUGCACACUUAAGGUUCGACGUUGUUUUAUGCGUAUUUGAGUUAUAUGGUUGGUUACCGAAUGUUGUUCGGAGUCCCGGAUGAGAUCAAGGACGUCACGAGGGUUCCCGGAAUGGUCCGGAAACGAAGAUUGAUAUAUAGGAUGACCUCAUUUGGUUACCGGAAGGUUUUCGUGCAUUACCGGAAAAGUUUCGGGCUCAUCGGUAGUGUACCGGGAGUGCCGGGAGGGGUGCCGGGGACCAUCGGGAGGGGUGUCACGCCCCAAGGGGUCUCAUGGGCUAUGGGAAGAGAUAAACCAGCCCCUAGUGGGCUGGAAUAAGUUCCCACUAAGGCCCAUAAGGUUUGAGAAGGAAAAAACACAAGGUGGAAAGAGUUUCCAAGUGGGAAGGUGGAAUCCUACUCCAAGUAGGAUUGGAGUAGGACUCCUCCACCUCCAAUUUCGGCCAAACCUUUAGGUUUUGAGGCUGCCUCCUCCCCUCCCUCCCACCUAUAUAUACGGAGGUUUUAGGGCUGAUUUGAGACAACUUUUCCACGGCAGCCCGACCACAUACCUCCACGGUUUUUCCUCUAGAUCGCGUUUCUGCGGAGCUCGGGCGGAGCCCUGCUGAGACAAGGUCAUCACCAACCUCCGGAGCGCCGUCACGCUGCCGGAGAACUCUUCUACCUCUCCGUCUCUCUUGCUGGAUCAAGAAGGCCGAGAUCAUCGUCGAGCUGUACGUGUGCUGAACGCGGAGGUGCCGUCCGUUCGGUACUAGAUCGUGGGACUGAUCGCGGGAUUGUUCGCGGGGAGGAUCGAGGGACGUGAGGACGUUCCACUACAUCAACCGCGUUCUCUAACGCUUCUGCUGUAUGGUCUACAAGGGUACGUAGAUCACUCAUCCCCUCUCGUAGAUGGGCAUCACCAUGAUAGGUCUUCGUGCGCGUAGGAAAUUUUUUGUUUCCCAUGCGACGUUCCCCAACAUUAUCACGGUUGGACUUUGUUUGAUAUGGACAUUCUGCGAAACAAAAAACAUGCAACAAAUAGGAACUGAUGUUUAGCACUGGAUCAAUAUGUUAGUCCAGUAUCUCAUAUAAAAUGUUGUGAAAAUAUGUAAAAGUUGAAUAAUAUUGGCAUGGAACAAUAAAAAAUUAUAGAUACGAUGGAGACGUAUCACCAGGCGAUAGUUCUUCCGCACAAAGAACACGGAAGAAAUAGCUCAGCUUUUCGAGUACAAGCCAUUCAUCCUUAGGAAUAAAGCCACGCAACAUCACUGACAUUACCCUCUCAAACCAUAUGUGCCAAUCAUGACUCUUGAGACCAAAUAUUUUAAUUUUUUCAAGACACACUCCCCUCUUUAGAUUCGUUGCAUACCCGCCGGGGAACAUCUACAUCAUUUUGACCCACGAGAUAAUUUCCCUCAUAGAUCCCCUUUUUAGAUUGAACCAGGCCUUUGGCUUCGACCAAUUCUGCUUUCCUUUCAACUGUUGCAUGUUUUGUAAUGGUCUAUCACAUAGAGUUUGUUAAUCGACUCUAUCCUUAGGAUUAUCCUUUGACUUCCCCUCUAUGCCGAACAAUAUACCAAAAUUGGCCUCUCCGAUAUUCUUUUUAGUGUGCCUCAUGUCGAUGUUGUGUGGAAGAAUAAGGUCUUUGAAGUAAGGCAUAUCCCACAAGCGUAUCUUGUGAGUCCAAGCGUGUUCCGAAUUAUACCCCUUGAAAUACCGUGGACGCUCUGGAUCAGGCUCAAGAGCGUUUAAAUUAUCCAAGAUCUGUUGGCCUGUCAACGCAGGUGGUGCCUAGUUUUUGAGAACUUUACCUUUGAUAAAGUUCUUCUUGUGUUUUCUAAAUUGAUGGCAAGGAUCCAGGAACUAUCUAUGCAAGUCGAAGCAAGAAUACUUCCGACCCGCCUGCAGCCUAUGAAACUGAAGAGUUGCCUUGCAUGUGGGGCAUGGGAACCUUCCAUGCACACACCAGCGAGCGAAUAUCGCAUACGCCAACAAGUCACGCAUCGAGUACAUGUACCACACAUGCAUUCGACAAUUUUCUUUUCUAGCGGCAUCGUAUGUCUUGAACCCAUUUUCCCAAGCUUCUUGCAGUUCAUCCUUAAGCGGAUGCAUGUACACAUUCAUAUUCUUCCCCACGUAGUUGGGCCCUGGAAUUAUCAAUGUCAGGAAUAUGUUCUUUAUUUGCAUAAUUUGUCCAGGGGGAGAUUGAGUGUAAUGACAAAUACAGGCCAACUACUGUAUUGGGUUUCCAUCAUACCAAAGGGAUUGAACCCAUCCGUGGCGACACAAACUCGAGGAUACCUUGGUUCUACUGCUUUAUCCAGAUGUACUGCGUCGAAGUGCUUCCACGCUUCCGCGUCCGACGUGUGUACCAACAUCUUAUUCUCAUCUGCAUCUAGUUCGGUUCUUUUUCCCAAUUUGUGCCAUGGCAUCUGUCUGGCCGUCUCUUCGACCAUGAAAAGACGUUGAAGUAUUGGUAUGAUUAGCAUAUACCGAAGAACAUCAACUGGGAUUUUGGCCCGCCUCUUCUCACCCAUACCGUUGUCUAACUCAAUAUACCUGGAAGACUUGCAAAUGGGACAAUAGUUCAAGUCUGCAUACUCAAGCCUAAAUAAGGUACAUCCUUUCUCACAUGCCUCUAUAUUCUCAUAGGGCAUCUUAAGUACACAUAGUAUUUUGUCCGACUGGUAUAGGUUUGCACGCAUGACAUGGCCUUUGGGUAGUAAGCGUCCAAAUAGUGUCAUCAUCGCGCGUAGAAUUCUCUACCAAAGUUGAAUUGAACCUUCCAGAGCCAUUACUUGUGCAAUGGCAUCCAGCUGACAAAGCUCAGUGUGCUCAUGGAGAGGACGUUUUGAAGACUCCAACAUUUCAUAGAAGGCCUUUGCAGAUUCCUCCAUCUCAUCAUCCGAAUCCCGAGCAUCAUCAAAGUCUUGCACCAUGUAUUCAAUCCCGGUACCAUGCUCGUCGGUGCAACGACGAACCACCUCAGCUCUGGUACGUUGGGAAAACUCGCCAUGAAAUGUCCACACCCUAUAAUUAGACGUAAAAUCCCUCUUCUGUAGGUGUUUACCCAUUUCAUCCUCUUUCAUAUUUUAAAGUAGUCGCAUCGAGGACAUGGGCACGAGGUUUUUCUCUGGCCAUUUGCAAAUGCGGCUUUCACAAUCCCCUUGGUUUUUGUUAACCAUUCUUUGGUCAUCUCUUUCUGACUAGUGUGAACAGUGUACAUCCAUGCACGAUCACUCAUCUUGCCAAGCUACAAAACACACAAGAAAUAUAUACAAUUCAGCACAUAUAUUCAUUAGUUAGUCAAGUUUGUUAGUUUUAUUACGUCCAUGCAACCUACACGCUAAUAGGUAAAGAUAGGUCCUAGUCCCACCAGAGGAUGUGUAGAUUGUGUUCGUUUUCCCAUGUUAUGUCCCGGAUCCGACGCAAAAUUUCGGCAGCACCUCCCCGUUGUUCUCAUGAUACAUGUCUCAGCAAAAAAAAGAGAGGACUUGUACCCGGAGAACAACAUGGAGGCACUGACAAAAUUAUGCAUCGGAUCCGGAGCAGAGCAUAUGGGAAAAACAAACCCAAUCUACACAUACUCGGGUUGUCCAUGGAUAACGUUGGACAAUUCAAAAGAAUCACAGUUAUAAAUAUAUACAAAUUCAUGCAUAUUUAUAACUGUAACCCUUUCGAAUGGGGAACACAUACUAGUCACGCAUACUGAUGAUUUAAUCUACCUAUAUCUAGCAAGUUUUAUCGGCAUGAAGACCGGAAUAAAGCAAAUGAAGGGGGAGGAGGAGAUGUCAUUUUUGCUCACCGGCGAACGCAGGGGCGGAGCUCGUCAAAUGCAUGGGGAGGUCGUCGAACACCGGACCCUCGUAGUGUCAAAACAGUUGAACAUUUAAAUCCACCCGAUCAACACGAACAUUCAAUCCCGAUAGAAAAGUCUCUCUGUAUAUAACUACUUUUCCACUUCUAUUUUAUUGCUUUUCUCCUCUAUUUCUUCUUCUUCUUCUUCAUUUUCUUCUCUUCUUCUUCUUAUUUUUCUUCUUCUCUUCUCCUCUUCUUCUUCUGCUUCUUCUCUUCUCCUCUUUUUCUACUACUUCUUCUUCUUCUUCUUCUUUUUCUUCCUUUCUCCUCCUCCUCCUGUUCUUCUUCUUCUUCUNCUUCUUCUUCUUCUUUCUUUCUUUCUUUCUUUCUUUCUUUCUUUCUUUUCCUUUUUCCUCUUCUUCUCCUCUUCUCUCCUUUUCUUCUUCUCUUCUUCUUCUUNNNNNNNNNNNUCUUCUUCUUCUUCCUCCUCCUAUUCUUCUUCUUCUUCUNNNNNNNCUUCUUCUUCUUCCUUGUUUUCUCUUCUUCUUCUUCUUCUUCCUUCUUUUCUCUUCUUCUUUCUUUUCCUUUUUCCUCUUCUUCUCUUUUUCUUCUUCUUCUUUUCUCCUCCUCCUCCUCCUACUCCUCUUCUUCUUCUUCNNNNNNNNNNNNNNNNNNNNNNNNNNNNNNNNNNNNNNNNNNNNNNNNNNNNNNNNNNNNNNNNNNNNNNNNNNNNNNNNNNNNNNNNNNNNNNNNNNNNNNNNNNNNNNNNNNNNNNNNNNNNNNNNNNNNNNNNNNNNNNNNNNNNNNNNNNNCUUCUCCUCUUCUUCUACUUAUUCUUGUUUUUUCAUCUUUAUCUUCGAACUAACCUAGUACUAACCUAGCUGUAACCUAGCACUAAGCUAAAAAAAUAGAUAAAAAACUAACCUAGCUAGGAGGAGGGGAGCGGUGGGGCGCGGGGGCGACGGUGUCCACUAUGGCAAGAGGAGACAUCGAUGGUGUCGGUCGGGAGGAGGAGGAGGCGGGGGGGCAGAGGAGGAGGAUGCGAUGGUGGAGUGGGGGAGNAGGAGGCGGUGGCGGCGGGCAACGGAGGAGGAGGAUGAGGCGGGGAGGUUGUGUUGGGAAGGAGAGUAGGCCGGAGGUGGGGGAGAGUGAGGCGGGUCGGGCCCAACAGAGGGAUAACCCCUCGCUUUGCCAUGUACCUUUCGUCGGGGCGGACAGCAAAGAGGUGGCGGCCAUCAGUUUUUCUUUGACCGAGCCUUAGGUUGAUACUUUGCCGUCUACCUUCUUCUUAGAUGUCGUCAGCCAAUUCUUUGCCGUCAGCUUUUAGAUCCUUUGUCUUCCGCUAGUAGACGACAAAGAAGGGACUGAUGGUAAAACAUAUAUUUACCAUGAGUCUUUUAUUUGCCGUUUACUUUUGAGAAGCUGUCGGCAAAGUUCGUUCGUUGUCGUCCGCUAGCAAACGACAAAGAGUGGACUGAUGGCAAAUUUUGUGUUUCAAGUAGAGAUAGUGGGCCAAACUAAACUGAUGGAUUGAACAGAAAUACAAAGCUGUAUCAAUCAUGCAUAUAAGAAUUUAGAGAUGGCUCAAAUAGUUUUCAUGAAUAAUAUGAUCAUAAACCCAUGAUACAUCGGAUCCCAACAAACACACCACAAAGAAGAUUACAUCGAGUAGAUCACCGCAAGAAUCACGGUGAACUUUGUAUUGAAGAACAUAGAGAGAGAUAGCCAUCUAGGUACUAGCUAUGGACCCGUAGGUUUGUGGUGAACUACUCACACUACUAGGGAAAAGCCUAGCAGUACCGCGUGUUAGGGUAUUUCUCCCUUAGUGGUUUUGGUGAUUGAUGACAAUGCUUUUGCAGACUAAUCAUGUGGUUUAAGCGUGCUAAAUAUGGCACAAAAUGAUUAUAGCUCUUCGAUGGAUAUAAUGAAGAUUAUUAUUUUCCCGCCUUUCAUUUUCCAUGGAAUCGAGUCAUUGCAGAACCAUACUAUUAAGAGGGGGUCCGCAUUGGAAAGGUUUGGGUGGAAUCAACACGUACACUUUCAUUUGCACCCUUGUUCCUUUCCCGCUUCAAUGGAGUUGUUCCAACGUUGCCUUUGUUCUGGUCCUGGAGAAGCCAAGUGGUAGUAUACCGCUCAGAAGCGGUAGUACGGCUUACCUCGUAAGCGGUAGUACCGCUCUCGGGUGGUUCACUGGUGCUACUGCCGCCCCUGAGCGAUAGUAGAUCUAUCCAGUGCUGCGCUCGGUACCAUUGGCGUUGGAGUCUUGACUAUUCGUGUUGGAUUGAGCGAUUUUUGGCCAAUAGUAUAGCGUGGUAGUAUCGCCUGCUAGUAUCGCGCCACUACUGCUCUUUGUUCUGGUCCAAGACCUCUCAGCGAACUCAGGGCAUCAGUAGGGCGAGGUACUAUCGCCUAUAAGCGAUAGUACCGCUCUUGCGAGAGAUGCUACCACUCAGGCGAUACUACCUCUGGUCCUACCGCUGGCCUAUGUUUGUAGAGCUGCUGCACUAUGGGGACCCUGACUCAUAAGCCGAGAUCACCUGUCACACCCUAUUUUCACCAUCACUUCUUUUGUAAUUGAAAAAUCUGAGUUUAUUAAAACUUUUCAAAACUAAUGUUGUGAGUGCCAUGGUUGUCAUUGUAUGCUUGUAUGCUUGGUUGUGUGAUAUCAAAAACAUAUUUCUCAUAACUUAAUUAUUUUCAAACCCUUUUUCUUAAUUCUGGUUAAAUUCAAAACCCUGCUUUGGGUUGCACUACAAGUCUUUGAUGGCAAGAAGUGCUCUUACCCAAAGUUGGUGAUGUGGUUCUAACACCAUUUUAGUUCACCAAAACCAUAAUAAUAAUUAUUAUUUUAUGAAUUAUUUUCCUAUUUUAUUUGCAUGUACAUUUCUCAGGCCAGAAAUGAUAUUACUAUAAGGAAAAAUACUUUUCCGCCUUAAAAAAAUCUGAGGAAAUUUGGAGAUACUCAGAAGGACAUAUAUUUUCAAUACAUAAGAUUUUCAACCCCUAUUUAUAUUAUAAAUAUUUGAGUAAAACCCUGAAAACUCAUUAUGUCUGUUUUGAUCUUUUGAAAUAUUUCCAAAGGAAAUAUUCUCAAUAAAUUCCUAGAAAAUUCCAGUGGUCUCCCUAAGCCAUAUUUGGUGCCCAUAUAAAGAUUCACCUUGAUCCAAGGUGGUUAAGGUAACCAAAUAAUCCCAAAACCCGUUCUGUCCAGAAUGAAAUUAGAGCAACUCUACAUAGCAAAGUUUAUCCAAUGGAGCUGAAACUUUGCGUAAGUGCCUAAUACCUCAAAUGAGGCCUCCAUGCCAAAAAAGGGAUUUGUGGGACAUGAUUUGCCCACACUCCCUUUGGAAGGAACAGAUCUGGUCAUUUAGGGAUGUUUUCAAGUUUACAAAGCUAAACUUGUCCAAUGGAGCUCAAAAUUGGUGUAGCCUCAUAUUUUAGCACCAAACUGGAAGCGGCCAAAGGAGCACGGCCACGAAUGCGUGCCACUCCUCUCUCCCACUCUCUCGCAAUGAGUCCUGGAGGUCCAAAACCACGCCCGGAGACCGUGGUUUCGAUCCCAGCCUCUCUCUGCACCCCAUGCAUGCCACGGUGGAUCACUGGCGCUCCCGAGUCGGCUCACCAUCGCGGGCCUAUUUAUAGCCCUCCCCUCGCUCCAUAACCCCUCACUCUACCUCACCGAGAUCUCAAUCACCUCCCUAGCCACCCCAUUUCGCAAGCAGAGUCCCGGUACUCGAGAUCGACCGAGGCCCCUCCGCCUCAGAGCUCCGGUCGAUCUCCGGCUACACGUCGGUUCUCGCGUCCCUCUGCCCACCUACACACGCCCCGUGCCCCUAGGAAGCUUUCCCCUCUCUUCCCAGAGCGAAUCCCUGCCCGUAGCUACCACCUCCACCUUCACCCGAAACCUCUCCACCGCGGCAACCUCGUCGCCGGUGAACCAGAGCCCCUCCUUCGUCGACUAGACCACCAACAGGUAGGCGACGACGAGCCGGACCCAUUCCUACCGUUGUUAGGGCCUGAGGACGUCGGUAGCCACGCCGCCGUGCUCCUCCUCCUCUCUGUCCAGAGGUAGGAGACGACCCCGACAGGUGUGCCCCACCCGUCGGUGACCCAUCUCUCUCUCCCUUGUUCCACGCAGCCACUGACCGUAGCGGCCCGCGCGUCAGGUUCAAACCUGACGGCGCGCACGCCUGGGCAGGCUGGUUGGCUGGCCACUUGGCCGGCCCAGUCCGAGGACGAGCCAGGGCGGGGCCGUUGCCUUUUUCUUUUUAUAUAAAACCUGGUUUUUAAAUGAUUUUUAUAAAAAUAUUUAUCUAGUAUAAAUUUAUGAUUCUUCCACUAUUAUUUUUCUAAAAAUAUGUAGUAUUUAAUAGAACCCUUGGUUGAAGUUUUGUAACAACUAUUCUGUUUAACUGUAAUUAAAAGGGUUAAUUUGGAAUAGUUUUGCUUCUAUUUUAUUGAUUUAUAAAAUAUUAUUUCACUAAAACCAGAGACAAAUAUUUUUAAAAUAACAAUGUGGAUUUAUCAGAAUUAAACAACAUUUUUAAAGUGACUUUGUGAUCUGUUUUGGAGUGAGCUACUUAUUGCUUUUAUUUAAAACGGUGAUAGAAAACCCGUGUGACGAAGGAGUUGGACUUGAAGACCCCGAAGACCUCGGAUACCUAGAUGACCAAGGCAAGCAUCCCUUUGACCAUGUUUGAGCAUAUAAUAUAUUACAUGCUAGUUAAUAUUUCCGUUGCAUGUGAUCAUAAGUAUCGGUAAAUCAUUAAUGUGAUGUUACCGAUGGCUCCUCCGGAGCACAUGCAUUUUGGGCAUGAUCCUACCACCUAUGAGGAUCACGCUAAUACCAUGUUGACAAGUAGAGUUAAGCAUAAUAGUAGCAUUAGCAUGAUGAUGCUAUAAAAUCAAAGGUUUAUGAAAACCCCGUCGGGUGCCACUAAUGCCCGGGGUGAUGAUGAGUUAGGUGGCCACUUUUGGUGAAGUGGUGCACCGAGUAUUUUGAGUGUGUAUGGUUUCGGAAAUGGGAUUAGAUUUAUGAUGUGUUGACCGUCCCAACCUUAUAUGUACGACCACGUUACCCCUUUAUGGGACGGGGCUUUGUUGAUUACUCUGGUCGGUGCUAGCAAAGAACCACAUUACUAGUGGAGAGAGUGAUGUGUGGUCACUCUCGUGAUGGGGUUGUGCCAAGAAGGGCGACUAUGUCGUGUUUACGUGUUCCAGGCACACCGUUGGUCCCCGCAUGGUUGAUACUGUCCAGAGUCGGUGCUCUUAAGACGUACAACAUGUGGGCUGGGUACCAAUCAAGUGGACCUCUUUGUCUAGUAUCAUCAGGGGAAAGGCAUUGAUUCGGUACUUACGUCGAUAUGUUGUAUACCGCGAGUCGUGGUUGACAUGGAAGUUCCCCGGAUCUCAUGGGUCCAGCAUACUACCUCUGCAGAGUGUAAAACUAUUCGAAUAGCCGUGUCCACGGUCAAGGACAGUUGGGUAAUCCUCCUUAAACUACGUCCAGGCGUUUCCGUAUAAACCAAGUGUGUGUGACUGUGUGGUGUUAAUAUGAAACAGUUGAUAUGACCAAGUUUGAUGACUUGGCAUAUAAGGUGAACCCGGAGUGUUCAGCCCUUGACAGAUAUAUUGAUAUAUGUAACCUAUUUUUCUAAUCAACAUCUAGUUUAUGAUGCAUAUCCAUGAACAAGUUUAUUCAUAGACAAGUUGUUAUCCACCGAAGCUGCAUAUUACUUGUUAUACUACCAAUUGCAUUGUUCAUAUCAUGGGAUGUGUGCGAGUACAUUCAAAAGUACUCAUUGGCUUGCCAUUGGUUAUAUUAUUGACCAGACACGGAAGGACCGGAGUUUGGAGUGGAGUAAGUCUUCGGAGACGGUCCUGCGAACUAGGACGCUUCCCAGUCAGAAUGUGUGUUGGUGUAGGCUGAUGGCAUGGGCACCCGCCUAGCCCUAAGAUUUCCGCUACUAGUUGUAUCAGUGUGAUUGGCCUUAUAGGCCCUACCUUGUGAACUUGACCAUUCGGUCAUGUGAUGUAAUAACUCGAUACUUGGAUGUAAGACUCUUAAUAUUCAAUAUAUGUGUGUUCGGUGAGCAUUGAUAUCUGGGAUCACUGAGCAUCUUCAUUCGGCGAUCUCGACUCGUAAGUCGGGGUCCACACAGAGCUGGUAUCAGAGCCAUCCUAACUAUAGGAAGCCUUAGGUAGCAUGGACGAUAACCGAGACGAUUAGUACACCUAGACUUUACCCCCUGAGAUUUUCUGCACACACCAAAAUUUUCUAACCCUCUCUCCUACAUCUUUGUAGAUGGUCGUCGUACCUGAGAUGCUUCUAGAGACGGGCUUUCCCCUACUUUUGGGAGAUAGCCUCGAGAAGUGUCAAGUACGCUGCACGCCCAUCUUCCUCUACCACGAGCACUGGGUCAACGCCGAGACCAAGGAAUAUCACGUGGACGUGAUAGUGAAGGCUAAUGACUCCCCAACUAGCUGGUUCUUUGAAGGACCACAGAUGGAGGAUCUGAUGUUGGCAGUGGAGACAGCCGCAUGAGAGGCGCUUGUGCGUCUCCGUGACAUCCUUCCCGCGAUGGCUAACGAGCCAGCUACUCGUCACCUACCUUUUAUUAAGGAUGGGAUUGACGGGAGUUGGACACUCAACCCAUCUUCACAGGACGGGACGCCACUAAGGUUUCAGACCUACUUCAGUCUCUCCUCCGACACCUUGACUCACCUUUUCAUCAAGGAGUCGACGAAGAUCUGCCAAGAACUGCACCUAGUCAAGGACCUACUUCGCCUGGAGAAGAUGAGGACCCGCAAGGUCAAGAAGGAAGGAGCACCCGAAGGGCGAUCAACCAUUGCCUUCUGAGGAGGAGUACCACCGCUUCAGGCCACUCCUAUUCAGAGUCACCGCCUGCCCGCGAAAGAGUACAUUGAGCUCCUCACUUCUUAGCCAACUAAGAGACACCGUGAUGGACCAUUUCCUUCUCCUACUCCUCUCAAGGUGGAAAGCACUGAUGAAGAUGAAGACGAAGACCCUGCAGAAUCCGCCUACGAGACCGAGCAGUCUACCGCUUAGGAUUACGGCUUAGGAAAUUACGAGUCCCCCCAAGCGUAGUGAGUCCAUGUAUCGGUUCACGUAAACCAUGAGUGCUGUGUGAGCAUGUAUGAUGCAAGCCGCAUUUCUUCCUUAGGCAUCUUGUAAGCGAAUACAUCACUUGUUUUUAAAUCUAAUGCAUUAGCUUUUCCCGAAAAUCUUUGGUUUACAAAUCUCACACUAGCACGACACCAACCCACCCUUAAUAGAGCAUCAUCCCUUAUGAUUCCGGCCAAUUCGGCAUAUUGACUUGUCUACUCCCCUGACAGGAUGGUGAUUUCAACUUGCACCAGCACCUUCGGCAACCCCGGCUCUGCCUCUUCAGGCUAGCAGCAGGGAACCGGAGGGGACACGCAAGCUGGAGAUCACCACGAGCAGCAGCAAGGCGAUAUUCCACCGCCACUGCCUCCUCUAGAAAGCUUGACUAUGGCUCAGUUCCUUCAAGCUCUCUGAGAGGAACGUCAAGCCAGUAAUGCCGCUAUCCAGCAGCUGGCUCAAGUCCUGGUGAACAAUCUGCCGCAGAACGGAAAUGGCAACGGUCGCUCUACUCUAUCUGAGUUUAUGCAGACUACGCCUCCCAUAUUCACAGAGGCUACUGAACCAUUAGAUGCCGAUGACUUGAUCCAUACUAUCGAAGACCUCCUUGCGCUGGUCAAGUGCAAUGAUGACCACGAGGAAGUCCUUUAUGAUUCUCAUUGUCUCGGAGGCACGACCAGAGCUUGGUGGGAUGGGUUCUAGAUCAUGCAAGCAGGACAAGUCAUCACUUGGGCGAUGUUGAAGGGAGGAUUCCGCGCUGCUCACAUUCCUUCUAGAAUGAUGACCAUUAAGAAGCGGGAAUUCCGAGCCUUAAGGAAAGAUAGUGGAACCGUCAAGGAGUAUCUGCAGAAGUUCAACCUCCUGUCAAGAUAUGCACCAGAGGAUAUCAACACUGAGGCCGCAAAAGUGGAACACUUUAUGGAAGGACUGCAUCAGUCACUCCAGUAUCAACUGGUUGUUUGUGAAUGCCGAACCUUCUGCGAUCUGGUUAAUAAGGCCCUUAUGUUGGAAGAUAAGCGUCGUGCAAUGGACGACACCCGUAAGCGCAAGCUGAUGGGUAGUGGAGGACCUAGUAAUCCGAAGCCACGCCCAUGGCAGUCAGUCCCAGCAAUAUAAGGAUCCAACGUUUCGCGAGAACUACCAGCCUCAGCAGAAAGUCAACACCAAGCCAGCAUUCAACCCACCGAACAAGAGUGGAGUCAAGACCAAUCUUCUAGGACAGGUUACCUGUUUUGAAUGUGGACAGACUGGGUACUACUCCAGGCAGUGUCCCAACAAGAAGCCCGACGCACCGCGCCCCAAUGCGCCAAAUCAAGGUGAAGGAGCACCAGGCAAGAACCAAGCACCCCGCAAGCAACAGUAUCACAAUAGGGGACGUAUUAAUCAUAUCUCCGCAGAAGGGGCACGGGAAUACCCGAACUGCAUUUUGGGUACGUUCCUCGUCAAUUCCACCCCAACAACAAUAUUGUUUGAUUGUGGUGCUUCACACUCUUUUGUUACUCAGAAGUUUGCGAAACAAUGUGGUUUGAAGCCUACCCUGCUUAACGGACAAAUGGCAGUACAUACCCCGGGAGCAGUGUUAAGGACCAACCUAGGGAGUAGAGGAGUCGGGAUCGUUAUCAAUGGGAUAAGCUUCUUAGUAGAUCUCAUCGUCAUUAAGUCGCAAGGCUUAGAAGUAAUCCUUGGAAUGGAUUGGUUGGCCAAACACCAGAGCAUCUUGGAUUGUGCCAACAGGGCUAUUACCAUGACAAGCGGUCAAGGGGUCAAAGUAAAGUAUGUCUCCGAGCCUGUAUCCACUCGAGUAACGCAGGUUAAUAGCCUGUCGGGAGAAGAGUUGGAUUGAGUGCCGAUAGUCUGUGAGUACCCGGACGUCUUUCCUGAUGAGCUGCGAGGGAUGCCUCCUGACCGAGACAUCGAGUUCAUCAUUGAUCUCAUGCCCAGAUCGAAGCCUAUCUAUAAGAAGCCUUAUAGGAUGGGAUCCGAUGAGCUAGCAGAGGUGAAGAAGCAGUUGGAUGAACAACUCAGGAAGGGAUUCAUUCGUCUGAAUGCAUCACCUUGGGGAUCACUUGUUCUGUUCAUGUCUAACAAGGAUGGGAGUAUCAGACUCUGCGUCAAUUACCGUUCUCUCAAUGAAGUCACAAUCAAGAACAAGUACCCACUCCCCAAGAUUGAAGACUUGUUUGACCAGUGAAAUGGAGUCAAGGUAUUUUCCAAGAUCGAUCUCCGAUCUGGAUAUUACCAAGCUGAAGAUCCGACCUGAAGACAUACCCAAGACUGCAUCUUGUAAGUGAAUACAUCACUUGUUUUAAAAUCUAAUGCAUUAGCUUUUCCCAAAAAUCUUUGGUUUACAAAUCUCACACUAGCACGACACCAACCCCCCCUUAAUAGAGCAUCAUCCCUUAUGAUUCCGGCCAAUUCGGCAUAUUGACCUGUCUACUCCCCUGAUAGGAUGGUGAUUUUAACUUGCACCAACACCUUCGGCAACCCCGGCUCUGCCUCUUCAGGCCAGCAGCAGGGAACCAGAGGGGACGCGCAAGCUGGAGAUCACCACGAGCAGCAGCAAGGCGAUAUUCCACCGCCACUAUCUCCUCUAGAAAGCUUGACUAUGGCUCAGUUCCUUCAAGCUCUCCGAGAGGAACGUCAAGCUAGUAAUGCCGCUAUCCAGCAGUUGGCUCAAGUCCUGGUGAACAAUCUGCCGCGGAACGGAAAUGGCAACGGUCGCUCUAUUCUAUCCGAGUUUAUGCAGACUACGCCUCCAAUAUUCACUGAGGCUACUGAACCAUUAGAUGCCGAUGACUGGAUCCAUACUAUCGAAGACCUCCUUGCGCUGGUCAAGUGCACUGAUGAUCGUGAGGAAGUCCUUUAUGAUUCUCACUGUCUCGGAGGCACAACCAGAGCUUGGUGGGAUGGGUUCCAGAUCAUGCAAGCAGGACAAGUCAUCACUUGGGCGAUGUUCAAGGAACGAUUCCGCGGUGCGCACAUUCCUUCUGGAAUGAUGACCAUUAAGAAGAGGGAAUUCCGAGCCUUAAGGACAGAUAGUGGAACCGCCAAGGAGUAUAUGUAGAAGUUUAACCUCUUGUCAAGAUAUGCACCAGAGGACAUCAGCACUGAGGCCGCAAAAGUGGAACACUUUAUGGAAGGACUACAUCAGUCACUCCAGUAUCAACUGGUUGUUUGUGAAUGCCGGACCUUCUGCGAUCUGGUUAAUAAGGCCCUUAUGUUGGAAGAUAAGCGUCGUGCAAUGGACGACACCCGUAAGCGCAUGCUGAUGGGUAGUGGAGGACCUAGUAAUCCGAAGCCACGCCCAUGGAAGUCACCCCCAGCAAUAUAAGUAUCCAACAUUUCACCAGAACUACCAGCCUCAGUAGCAAGUCAACACCAAGCCAGCAUUCAACCCACCGAACAAGAGUGGAGUCAAGACCAAUCUUCUAGGACAUGUUACCUGUUUUGCAUGUGGACAGACUGGGUACUAUUCCAGGCAGUGUCCCAACAAGAAGCCCGACGCGCCGCACCCCAAUGCGCCAAAUCAAGGUGAAGGAGCACUAGGCAGGAAGCAAGCACCCCGCAAGCAGCAGUAUCACAUCAGGGGACGUAUUAAUCAUAUCUCCGCAGAAGGGGCACGGGAAGACCCGAAUUGCAUUCUGGGUACGUUCCUCGUCAAGUCCACCCCAGCAGCAAUAUUUUUUGAUUGUGGUGCUUCGCACUCUUUUGUUACUCAGAAGUUUGCAAAAAAAUGUGGUUUGAACCCUACCCUACUUAACGGGCAAAUGGCAGUACAUACCCCGGGUGCAGUGUUAAGUACCAACCUAGGGAGUAGAGGAGUCGGGAUCGUUAUCAAUGAGAUAAGCUUCUUAGCAGAUCUCAUCGUCAUUAAGUUGCAAGGCUUAGAAGUAAUCCUUCAAAUGGAUUGGUUGGCAAACACCAGAGCAUCUUGGACUGUGCCAACAGGGCUAUUACCAUGACAAGCGGUCAAGGGGUCAAAGUCAAGUAUGUCUCUGAGCCUGUGUCCACUCGAGUGCCGCAGGUUAAUAGCCUGUCGGGAGAAGAGUUGGAUUGAGUGCCGAUAGUCUGUGAGUACCCGAACGUCUUUCUUGAUGAGGUGCCAGGGAUGCCUUCCGACCAAGACAUCGAGUUCAUCAUUGAGCUCAUGCCCAGAUCGAGGCCUAUCUAUAAGAAGCCUUAUAGGAUGGGAUCUGAUGAGCUAGCAGAGCUAAAGAAGCAGCUCGAUGAACAACUCAGGAAGGGAUUCAUUCGUCCAAGUGCAUCACCUUGGGGAUCACUUGUUCUGUUCAUGUCUAACAAGGAUGGGACUAUCAGACUCCGCGUCAAAUACCGUUCUCUCAGUGAAGUAGAAAAGACCUCGAUGACGCCUAGAGGGGGGUGAAUAGGCUAUUUAAAAACUUCUUCGGAUUUGGCUUGAAACUAAUGCAGAAAUAAACUAAGAGGGUACUUGUCAAGCAAAAAUCCUGAAUGCACUAGGCACUGCAACGUGUAUCAACAACACGAUCUACCAAGAUGGACACAAUACAAUUACUAACAAGCACAAGUAAGUUACACAAACUUACUUGAGCUAUGUCACACGACAAGUAGGUAAACAACACAANUAAAUAUAACUUAAGGAAACCAUUAGUCCAUAGGAAUUGUCAUCAAUUACCAAAACCACAUAUGGAGAUAUAUGCUCUAACAAUGUCCCCCAUUUUGGUAAUUGAAGACAACCAGUGCAAGAAGAUGGAUGAGACAAUAAUCAUAUUGAUUGCACAAAACCAAUGGUUGAGCAACAUGUAAAAGAAGCAACUUAAGAAUAGGCUCAACCAAACUAAUGUGUGUGAGUCAUGGCAAAGCACUUGAGAAGACUAAGAUAAGGAUGAGCAUUACUCAUCAACAUAGUCUUGAUGAAAUGAGAUACAAAGUGCAAGACAUAUCAUUCCCACACACACAUACUAGAAAAUGGGUUCACAAGCUUACUAAUAAACAAAAUACGAACCAACGCUUGUGACAACCCAUUGUGAAGAUAGAAAGUAGGAACCUUGUCAAGAGGAGAGAUACUAAUUGAAAUGGCAAAACCCUCAUCAAGACAAGCAUGAGGAAAAAUAACCCUCACGGCCAAAGAGUGCAUCAAGAUGUAGGAAAAUAAGAUACGCACUCAAAAUAAAACUUUUCACGAAGCCACCAAAAGCUGAAAAAGGAAAUGCAAUGAUGAUCGUGAAAGAAAAGAGGAUAUUAAUUAGAGAUGUAACUUCUCUCAUGUGUAAAAGAUUCUAAGUAGAAGACAAUCAAGAUGAUAUAUAUCCAUAAAGAAGGAUGUACACACUAAAUGGUUACAAGAAGGAACAAACUAGAUAUCCAAAAGGAAGUCAUAAAUAUAUCAAUGAGAUCUUUUGCUUGGAAGCAUAGCACAUGGCCUAAUAUUUUCUUAUUGUACAAUAUGAACUUCCAACAUACGAACAUCAAAGACAUCCCAACUAGUAGUAAGACAUCAUCGUUCAGAUGCUUUGAGAAAGCAAACAAGUACUACGAGAACAAAUCAAGAGAUUCAUGCCAUGAUGCAACCUGGAAAAGAAAAGACAGGUUGGGUCCUUUGCAAGAAAAGGAUGCAUGAAGUGGAUACUUGUUACCGAGACAACAUUGGAUUGAUGUAGUAGAUAGUUGUUCUUUGAUCAUCCUAACUUGGCUCCAAUGAUCACAUGGUCUCAACACCUUCCUUAUAGAUGAGCCGAGCAUCCAAUGCAUCUCCAGUUAUUCCUAGAACAGCAAAACAAACAAAAUGGUGCCCAAACUCAUUGGGACCAAAGAGUUAGAAAACCAGCAAUACAUAGGACAAACUCCACAUACAUAUGUGCAUAUAGAUAUGAAUUUGAAUUUCAUGCACACUUUAGCCAAUUUAUGACAAGGUGGAGUUUUUCCUAUAUAUUGGGUCAAAGAAGGAAAGCAAGCAAAAGAAGUUGUAUAUAGUUUCUAUAUAGUAUCUAGAUACGCAUGCUCAAGACUCACAAAAAUCAACUCAACACAAAGUUGAUAAGUCACCAAAAGACAAGGUAUCAAGUGAUAAUAAGAUCCUAAAACAAAAGGAACUAUCACUUGAAGGAUAUCAAUUAAAAGAUACCUCAAGGAAUGAGAUAUCCAUUGACACAUGCCAAAUAGAAGGCAACAAGAAACCAACUGAAGGAAAACAAACACGAGGUAUCUAGUUUCCAAAAGAAAGCUAGGUUCCAACAACCCAAGCCCUCGACAAAUUUUCAUGAUGGCACAAAUCAUCAUAAAGAGCAAGACUUGCCUCUCAUCAACAUACACUUGAUGGGGAUCAAAAGAUUUUAUGAUGGGUGAAUAAAGAGAGCGUUCUAAAGAAAAUAGGAUAGCUCCUCCAAGGGACGUGCAUUAUAUAGAAUUUGCAUUUGAAUACAAAACGCACACGAUGGGAUCAUCACUUUCUCUAUAUCUAUAAAAACACUAGACAUGUUAAAACAGAUUCAUAAGAGGCAAGGAAGACAAACGAAACACAAAAUCCAAUGUAAAGAUGAUUAGCAAUUCCUAUCACAUGAUGGGAAUACCAAUUGUCAAGGACACGAAGUAUUUUCGAAGUGAUACUCAUUGGUAGAUCACAAAUAUAUCCAAGAUCAUCUUUACCCAUAAAACGCAAGCAAAUGACACUUGUAGAGCUAACAUGCCACCUAGGAACAAGAUAAUUUACAGUAUCAACACUAAGUGGCAACACGUCAAAUGUACACAUUUUCUAGGUUUCUAAUAUGCACAUAGCAUAUUACUCCCCCAUAAUGUGAUAAACCAACAACAUUAACAAGUGGAAAAUUAAAACCAACAAGAGAUACUUAAUGGACCAUAUAGAAUUUGAAUUUCUCAUGAGUAAGACAUACCACAUAGAAACUAGAUAAUCUUGAAGUGUCAAAACUAAGUGGCAUUCCCCAUGUAUACACAUUUAUAGGAUUGUGAGGUGUGAAAAGCACAUCACUCCCCCACAAUGGGAUAAUCCAUUAAUCUCUCACAAGAGCCAAAAAAAAUAUAAACAAGAUGCAAAAAGGCUCAAUACAAGACUCACAUGUACAUGAUAUGCAAACCAACAUACCCAUACUUGAUUACUCAAGAUAAGCAAGUUGGAAGCACAACAUAUACAAACGCAUGCAAGGUACAAAACCACAACAUGCAAAGGGGAGAGCACCUAACAAUGUAAACAGUUUAAGUAUAAGUUACCGUAAGGAGGCACAUUGGAUAUAAGAUAGAAACUCGAUAAUCCAAAUGACUUGGCUUGAGAUAAUAUGAAUGAUGAAGAACCCUUAAUUCUUCAUUAUGUAUCCAAGUCUCUAAUGUCCUCCAUAGUCACCUAUUGAUCAAGUUUGAGCUUGUUGGUCCCCAACUAUGUUGGGUCCUAAGAGGUUAAUCACAAUAGGCUUGGCAACCCAAAUGGUUCUUUUCUUGACACCAUUUUGAGUACCAACAAACUUGGCAAACACAUUGCCAACCUUAUCCUUCCCAAGGGAAUAGAUAUCAUCAAUAGUGAUUGGGUUGGAUAAGUUACCUCUCGUGCAAGACGAAGUGACGUGACCCUUCUCACGACAUAAGUAGCAACAUCUACCCUUUGUUUUCUUCCCAGUUGAUUUGGGAAGAGGCCUUUCUUCAACUUGUAGUUGAAUAUGUGAUUGAGUUUGUGGCCGCUUCCCUCGUUGCUUGUGACUUUGAGACUUCGUCUUCAGAGGGCAAGAUCUAACAUGGUGCCCUUUAACUUUGCACUUGAAGCAAAUGAUUUUGGUCGAAUUCUUGACUUGUUCUAGGCCCCUCUUGUUCUUGUUUGAGUUUACUCCAACAUCAUUUUUGUCAUUCGGUGAUGUUUGCUCACACAGGACGUUGUUGAGUGUGGACAUCCCUUCAUGCCACUGUUCCAAGUCUUUCUUCAAAGAAGUGACUUGGGCCUUGAGCUCUUCGAUUUCCUCUGCACGGUUAGUAUCAAUGCAAGUACUAGAGGAAGUGUAAGCUUUAAUGUUAGAGCAACAAGGCAAGAAAAGUAAUUCAUCACACGAGGUAGCAACAUUAUGAGUAGACGAAUUACGAGGACUAGCACAUGUAAAUAUAGUACUUUGACUAGAAGUAGUGCCAUUGUCCACAUGAGGCUCACUUGAUGUUACCUUGGUCAUGAUAGCCUCAUGAGCUAACUUUUGCACAUUAUGGGAUGUUAGAAGAUCGGCAUGAGAGCUUGUGAGCAUUACAUGGUUUUCUUCCAACUUCCCAUUAUUGCUAGUUAGUAAAUCAAGUUGAGCACGUAGCUCAACAUUCUCCUUCAAUGUUGAUACUUCAAAAGAGAUAGGGUUAGAUGUACAAGUAUCAUCAACAAUAUGAGAGGAGUAAGUAGAGAUUAGAGACUUCUCAUGAGUAGAUUGAAGUUCCUCAAAUAUCUUAGAGGUUUUGACGAGCUCUCCCUUGACAUUCUUGCAUUCAAGGAGAAGGACCUCAAAAUCCCUUUUAAGUUUAUCAUGAGCAGCUUCAAUCUCUCCUUUUGAAGAUCUUAAGUCUCUACAUGCUUGAUGACUCUUCUCAAGUUCAUGUUCAAGUUGUUAACUUUUAGCUUGUUCAUGAUUAAGUGAAUCAUUACAAUUUUCAAAGUAAGCAAGAACAUCUUGGAACCUUUGAAGAGCGUUAUUUUUAGCUUUAUGAAGAAUUUUACUGAUCACAUAGAUAUUUUCAGUCAAGUCAUCAUCAUCAUCCUCAUCGCAAAUAUCAUCGUUAUUGCACAGGGAAGAUGAUACCUCAUUAUUACCUCUUGCCAUGAGGCACAUGUGAACUGGAGGAGUUGAUGAUGAUUCUUUUGGUGAAUCAGAUUCUUCAUUAGUCAAAAGUGCUUCAUAUUUCUUGAUUUCCCCUAAAUGAUUAGUCAUAGAGCAACUAGGGAGAAACAAGAUAUUUUGAUCAAGAGGACACGAGGAAGCAGACAUAUCACCACAGACAUUUGUCGAGGGAUCUUUAGGUGAAAUACAUGACCUAUCAGCACAAUAAUUUACACUAUGUGUGGUGCUAGAUAUGCUCGUGUCCAUUGAGGCUAUGACAUUUUCAUCAACAUAUAUUUCUUCACUCACCAUGUCAUUACCUUGUGAGAUUGAAGAUGCUGAGGUGUGCAAGCAAUCGGAUAUGGAAGUAGUGGUGGACUCUUCAAGAUCGAAAAGAGUGAAGAGCUCAUGCACCAACUCCUUCAUCAUAAUACCGUCUUCAUCAAGAUUGGAACCACCAUAUAUAUCUUCAAGUUUAGUCCAAACUUCAUGAGAUGCCUUGCAAGUCGAGAUAGACUUAAACACUUCAGGACUUAUGGUUCGAUGAAUGGCAAGAAAAGCCUCACAAUCAAGAUACAUUUCAUUAGUAGAUGAAGAUGCAUCAUCCUUUUUGUCGGCAAUCCCUACAAGAACAAUUCGUAAAGUAUUUGGGCCCAUGGCCCGAAAGUGAUGAAGCAUAUGAAUUCUCCAUAUGGUAUAAUUUGUGCCAUCAAAGUCAAAGAUGCCAUUGUGCACUAAUCCAAUAGUCGACAUCGAUACUCUCUAGGUCGUGAAACAUAAUUAAAGAGAGACCUAGCUCUGAUACCAAUUGAAAAGACCUCGAUGACGCCUAGAGGGGGGGUGAAUAUGCUAUUUAAAAACUUCUUCGGAUUUGGCUUGAAACUAAUGCGGAAAUAAACUAAGAGGGUACUUGUCAAGCACAAAUCCUAAAUGCACUAGGCACUGCAACGUGUAUCAACAACACGAUCUACCAAGAUGGACACAAUACACUUACUAACAAGCACAAGUAAGUUACACAAACUUACUUGAGCUAUAUCACACGACAAAUAGGUAAACAACACAANUAAAUAUAACUUAAGGCAACCAUUAGUCCAUAUGAAUUGUCAUCAAUUACCAAAACCACAUAUGGAGAUAUAUGCUCUAACAGAAGUCACGAUCAAGAACAAGUACCCACUCCCCAAGAUUGAAGACUUGUUUGACCAGUUAAAUGGAGCCAAGGUAUUUUCCAAGAUCGAUCUCCGAUCUGGAUAUUACCAAGCUGAAGAUCUGACCUGAAGACAUACCCAAGACUGCAUUCGUGACUCGGUACGGUCUGUACGAGUGCACUGUCAUGUCUUUCGGGUUGACAAAUGCCCCACCUUACUUAAUGUACUUCAUGAACAAGGUCUUCAUGGAAUACCUGGAUAAGUUUAUUGUCGUAUUUAUCGAUGACAUAUUGAUCUUCUCCAAGUCCAAAGAAGAGCAUGAGCAACACUUGAGGUUAGUGUUGGAGAAGCUUCGAGAGCACCAACUUUAUGCCAAAUUCAGCAAAUGCCAAUUCUGGCUGAAGGAAGUUUGAUUCUUGGGUCAUACCAUGAUAGCAAGUGGAUUGGCAGUCGAUCCUUCCAAGAUUAUAUGGUAACCAACUGGGAGUUGCCAAUUGAUGUGAAGGAAGACAGGAGCUUCCUCGGACUCGCAGGAUAUUACCGCAAGUUCGUAGGAGGAUUCUCCCACAUCGCUCGACCCAUGACUCAGCUCUUGAAGAAAUACAAGAAGUUCGAAUAGACGCCGGAGUGUGAAGCAAGCUUCCAGGAGUUGAAGAAGAGAUUGACUACAACCCCGAUAUUGGCUACUCCUGAUAUCAGCAAGGAGUUUGUGAUAUAUUGUGAUGCCUCCUGAACCGGGCUCGGUGGAGUCCUAAUGCAAGACGGCAGGGUCGUGGCGUAUUUGUCAUGCCAACUGCGCCCGCAUGAGGAGAAUUAUGCCACCCAUGAUCUCGAGUUGGCAGCAGUAGUGCAUGCCGUGAACACAUGGCGACAUUACCUUCUGGGGAAGCGAUGUGAAAUAUACACCGACCACAAAAGUCUAAAGUAUAUGUUUACUCAGGGGGGAUUGAAUAUGAGGCAGGUAAGAUGGUUAGAGUUAAUCAAAGAUUAUGACCUCAUCAUUCAAUACCACCCUGGUAAGGCCAAUGUGGUGGCCGAUGCCUUAAGCCGGAAGGCCAACACCUUGAAUGUUAUGCUCAAGGAAAGGCUACCCGCCUUGUAUGAAGAAAUGGAAAGCUUCGGGUUGGAGCUAGUUGAACCAGGAUUCCUGGUUAACCUCGAAGUCAAACCAACGUUGGCACACGAUAUCGAGGAGGCGCAGAAGGGGAACAAAAGCAUUGAAGGCAUCAAGAAGAGGAUCCAGGAAGGCAAGGCCCCAGAAUUCUUGGUGGAUGAGCAAGGAGUAGUGUGGUUUGGGAAACAUUUAUGCGUACCCAACAAGGCAGAACUCAAGGACUUGAUCCUGCAGGAAGCACCUGACACACCCUACUAUAUUCACCCCAGUGGUACCAAGAUGUAUCAAGAUCUCCUAGAAAGAUUCUGGUGGCAUGGCAUGAAGAGGGAAAUAGCGUCUUAUGUUGCCAAGUGCGACGUGUGCCAGCGAGUCAAGGCUGAGCAUCAGCGACCUGCUGGACUGCUACAACCUCUCCAAGUUCCUGAAUGGAAGUGGGACACAGUCGGCAUGGACUUCGUCACCGGCUUACCCAGGCCCAGCAGAGGCGAUGACUCUAUUUGGGUCGUUGUCGACCAUCUGACCAAAGUGUCUCACUUCAUCCCGGUCAGUACCACCUAUGGGGGCGACAAGCUGGCUUGCCUGAACAUUGAGCAUAUUGUGAGCCUUCAUGGAGUCCCCAAGGAGAUUGUAUCUUACCAAGGCAUGCAAUUCACCUCAAGAUUCUGGAAGAAGUUUCAAGAAGCCUUCAAAACUAAGCUGUCUUUCAGCACCGCCUUCCACCCACAGACGAGCGGACAGACGGAGAGAGUGAACUAGAUACUCGAGGAUAUGCUCCGUGCUUGUGUCUUGGCUCAUGGUGCCAAAUGGAAAGACUGUCCGCCAUUCGCUGAGUUCUCAUACAACAACAUCUACUAGUACAGUCUCCAGAUGGCCCCAUUCGAAGUGUUGUACGGACGGAAGUGCUGCACCCUGCUCAACUGGUCAGAAACUGGUGAAGGGUUGAUUUUUGGGCCGUAAAUUCUGCAAGAGGCAGAAGAUAAGGUGCAGCUUGUCCGAGAAACCUUGAAGGCAACCAAGUAGCGACAGAAGAGCUAUGCAUAUUCUCACCACAGAGAGGUGGAGUUCGUUCCUGAAGACCAGGUGUACCUCCGUGUCACACCUCUCAAGGGAACCAAGCGUUUCUACGUCAAGGCAAAACUUGCUCCAAGGUUCAUUGGUCCUUUUAAGAUCACGACAAGGCGUGGAGAAGUUGCUUUCCAGUUGGAACUACCUUCGAAACUUUCGGGCAUGCACAACGUCUUCCACAUGUCACAACUUUGGAAGUGUCUCCAAGCGCCAAACCGUCCAUAUCUUUUUAAGGACAUUAACCAUCAGGCCAUCGACCUUCAGCCAUAUCUCACUUAUCGAGAGAGGCCGAUUCGCAUCUUGGAUGAAGCACAACGUUGCCCCAGGAGCCGCACCAUCAAGUAUUUCAAGGUUCAGUGGAGCAACCACACCCAAGCAGAAGCAACAUGGGAGCAUGAAGACUAUCUCCGAUCUGAGUUUCCGCACCUUUUUAGCACCUAGCUUAGGAAUCUCGGGGACGAGAUUCUUGUAAGGGAGAUAGGUCUGUCACACCCUGUUUUCACUAUCACUUCUUUUGUAAUUAAAAAAUCUGAGUUUUUUCUUUUUCAAAAUUAAUGUUGUGAGUGCCAUGGUUGUCAUUGUAUGCUUGUAUGCUUUGUUGUGUGAUAGCAAAAACCAUAUUUCUCAUAACUUAAUUAUUUUCAAACCCUUUUUCUUAAUUCUGGUUAAAUUCAAAACCCUGCUUUGGGUUGCACUACAAGUCUUUGAUGGCAAGAAGUGCUCUUACCCAAAGUUGGUGAUUUGGUUCUAACACCAUUUUAGUACACCAAAACCAUAAGAUAAUUAUUUUAUGAAUUAUUUUCCUAUUUCAUUUGCAUGUCCAUUUGUGAGGCCAGAAAUGAUAUUCCUAUAUGGAAAAAUACUUUUCUGCCUUAGAAAAAUCUGAGAAAAUUUGGAAAUACUGAGAAGGACAUAUAUUUUGCAUACAUAAGAUUUUCAGCCCCUAUUUAUAUUAUAAAUAUUUGAGUAAAACCCUGAAAACCCAUUAUGUCAGUUUUGAUCUUUUGAAAUAUUUCCAAAGGGAAUAUUCUCAAUAAAUUCCUAGAAAAUUCUAGUGGUCUCCCUAAGCCAUAUUUGGUGCCCAUAUAAAGUUUUACCUUGAUCCAAGGUGGUUAAGGUCACCAAAUAAUCCCAAAACCCCUUGUGUCUAGAAUGAAGUUAGAGAAACUCUACAUAGCAAAGUUUAUCCAAUGGAGCUGAAACUUUGCGUGAGUGCCUAAUACCUCAAAUGAGGCCUCCAUGCCAAAAAUGGGAUUUGUGGGACAUGAUUUGCCCACACUCCCUUUGGAAGGAACAUAUCUGGUCAUUUAGGGACGUUUUCAAGUUUACAAAGCUAAACUUGUCCAAUGGAGCUCAAAAUUGGUGUAGCCUCAUAUUUUAGCACCAAACCCAGUCCUGUUAAGUUGCAUAGCCAGUGGUGGGGUGCAACCAUCCCAAACCACUGUUGAGCACCUUCUGACAGAUGGGAAAACCCUAUCCUAACCCCAGCUAAACCCAAUCCCUUUCUCUCAAACUCCCAAAUUAGGUGGCUAGCACUAGUGCCUAACUCCAGUCAAGUGGAUCAUCACUGGUUCAAAGUAGAAAGGCCAAAAUCUCCAAUUUGAGCUUUAGCCCAAGGCUGAUAGCACAUGUUUCUCUUCCCUCCUUUGACCAGCCGAUGCUCCCACGGGAUUCAAACGACCAGGCAUCUCCAAGCCAGUGCCCAGUAAGCGUCAGACACGUCCAAGGCACCCCAGAGCAUGCCAACAUGCCGUGGCAUGCCAAAGUUGCACUCUGUGCGCACUACACAGAGCAACCGAGGUGGGGGCGACCUCCCACGGCCAGAUCAAGCCUCCCCGCGGUGCCUCUCCUCUCCCUUGACAACCCCUCUGCAUCAGGCAUCCCUCAGGGCCCCUCCUUUCCUGCGCUAAGAGACGGUUGGACGCGUGCCCGCACGCACCGAAAGCGGCGAGAGGAGCGCGGCCAUGAAUGAGCACCACUCCUCUCUCCCCCUCUCUCGCAGUGAGUCCCGGAGGUCCAAAACCACAUCCGGAGACGGUGGUUUUGACCCCAGCCUCUUACUACACCCAUUACAAGAAAUAAGGUCAAUUAUGACUCCCUAUAUUGGUCAUUGAUUCGUCAUUGUUAUCGUUUAUUGACUUUUUUUGACCAAAUUUACAAGGUCAACAGUUGACCGUCAAGAAUGAACAAACAUGACCUUUCUAAAAUUUUGGUCAUAUCUCUCUAUCGACCAAAAUUUUGGUUUGGUCAUUACCCAUUUGUGUGAGCCACGUAGGAUCUGACGUGGCAUUGCUAGUGACCAAAUGAAAUCAUCAUAAAUUUUAGAUCCGUGUCCAGAAAAUGUCUGUUUUGUUUGGGUUGAAGCAUUUUUUUGCUAAAAGCACACAUAUCUCACGAUAGGCCCAUUAAAAAUAAGUACAAUAGAAUAAAAGAUUGCAAAUAAAAUGUAUAUUUCAUUUCAGUAACAUAUCUCAUUAAAUACAAUACACCAUCGACCGACUCCACGCAUUAAGGUUCAACGCCUAACAAGGACACAUCAAAAUAAUUUUACAUGUGCACAAUAGAAUACUACUAUAAGUGCAAGUACACAGAAAAAGGACCCAACAAGUGCACAAUCGCACAUAAAGAGAGUUCCACAAAGAUUGGAUGAGAACCCCAAGUUUCUUCUCAUCCUCUUUCUCUGCACAAUAUGCUCUUGCCACUGCCGCAUGCAAGAAGAAAAUGAUGGUAAGGCUUUCAAGACCAAGGAAACUAGUAUAAUUAUACGCACGAUAACCAAUGAUAAAACAGUAGAAAAUUGUUUUCUCAUUCAUCUAGUUAUGACUUAUGAGGUCAUAAAAAGUAUUAUAUAUAUAUAAUUAUUUUACCAUACCCCUUUUUAUGUACUCCCUCCGGUCCUUUUUACUCCGCAUAUUAGACUUGGGUCAAGUCAAACUUUACAAAGUUUGACCAAAUAUAUAUUGAAAAAUAUCAACAUCUACAAUACCAAAUAUACAUAUCAUAUACAUAUCAUGAAACUACCUUUCGUAAUGAAUCUAACAAUAUUAAUUUGGCAUUGUGAAUGUUGAUACAUGUUUCUAUAAAUUUGGUCAAAGUAGAGAUACUUUGAAUUCGGACAAAGCUAAUAUGCAAACUAAAAAGGACCGGAGGGAGUAUAAAUAUGAAUUCGAAAAAUUCGCUAAAACCUAUGAACCUUGCAUAAACCACCAAACAAUGUAGUAUGUAUACUACCUAAGUAGCCUUAUAAGCUACAUAGUAUAGAUGCAUACUCUGCAGUAUGUUAGAUACUACCUAAACUGUAUGGAAAAUAUGUACGUUGGUGUAACUUCAGCCCGUAGUAGAAAAAAGGUUUGAACACAUGGAUGUAACUUCACCCGGUACUGGCUAGAUCCCAUAUAUACAUGGUAGGUUUAAAAUAGCUACACCCCCUAGUAAAACAGUCCAAACUAAUAGUAAAAUAAGCACAAAAUUGCACAGAUUUUGAAAUACAUUGUUUACUACCCAAGUCACUAUUUACUGCAUUGUUCUGGAAUUACUACAUUUGGUACAGGGACCAGCUACUACCAGGGACCAGCUACUACCAAGGCUUCCAGGGACCAGCUACUACCAAGGCUUCCAGACAAGGAAGAAAAUUGUGUCCAUGCUAGAGCAGAUGACCAGGGAAAAGCUAAGUGACGAGCAGAUCAUUGACUUGCUCAUCGCCCUCAUCUACUCUGGAUACGAAACCAUGUCGACGACUUCUAUGAUGGCCAUCAAGUACUUGUCAGACCACACGCAAGCUCUCGAAGAACUCAGGGUAUGUAGUACAGACAUAAUUUGCAAAUUGAUUUUGAUUCCAGAGAAAAAUCCGUGUGUUUCUGUCUGCGAAUCAAUUUUGAAUCCAGAGAAAAGUCCAUGUGUUUCUUCAAUUUAUUGAUGACAUUCUCACUUCUAAAUGCAGAGAGAGCAUCUUGAUAUCAGAAAGGGGAAAUCGCUGGAGGAAGCCAUCAGCUAUGAAGAUUUUAAGUCAAUGGCCUUCACUCGAGCUGUAAGUAGGAGCUAAAAGUAAAACGGAGUAGGAAUUCAGUAUAAACAAGAUCGUAAUGAACUGAUGGAUACUUUUGUGCAGGUCAUCUUUGAGAAACUAAGAUUAGCUACAGUCGUCAAUGGGCUCCUGAGGAAAACAACUCAGGGCGUAGAAAUGAAUGGUGAGAUAUGCUUGGAAAUUAAUCCUACCACCAAUUUAGCAUUUUCUAGGAAAAUGUUAAGUUAGUUCUAAAGCAGUCUUAUUGAUUUCUUCAAGGGUAUGUCAUUCCAAAAGCGUGGAGAAUCUAUGUUUACACGAGGGAGAUAAACUACGGUCCAUUCAUGUAUCCUGACCCAAUGACAUUCAAUCCGUGGAGGUGGCUGGUAAGUAAAAGAGCGAACAAAUAUGACCAUCAAAACAUCACACCAACUAGGGCCUAGCAGAAGAAGUUCUAACCUUUUCUUGCCUACUGAAAAUGUACAGAAGAAGAACAUGGAAUCACACCCGCACUUCAUGUUAUUCGGAGGAGGUGGCCGGAUGGACCGCCUGAAAAUUUUGGGAAAUUUGCGUGCCUGUUAUAGAGAAAGCUAACAAAUAUAUUUUCUAUAUAAGCACAGUAUGUCCUCUGCUCUAUUAAUUAAAAAGAUCCAUGCAUGUGUAGUAUUAUAUGAAAAUGAAUAAAGGGGGUCUUUCUAAUUCUGAAUCACAGUAAAUCAUAUGGUUCUAUCCCAACAACUGUCACCACAUUUUGUACAACGGGGUGAGAAAUAAUCUGAUGAGAUUAUCCAAAUAUGUUAAUGAGAUGAUCCUAAUUCAUCCAGAUUCUCCACGAACUUUGUGAGGAUAGGAGAAGGGACGUACCAGCACUGAUUGCAGGGAUAGAGUGAGGACAUCAUGAACAAAAUUGCACACCGACAUGCAUCAAAAAGAGAUAGACGACAUGAGCUAAAUGAAGUCAACCAUACAUUCUCCAAAUCAGGAAUACUAAAAUAAUCAAUGAUGAUUACUGACCAACGCAUGGCUAUUAUGCCACUGUUGCUGCACUCAAAUGAAUACCAGGUUAAACAAAUCAGUAUCGAUCUACAGUUUGAAGAAAAAUGCAUCAGAAGCAAUGGGCCACCUGGAAAACAUGCCAGAAUAUGCAUGCAUGUUACAGAGAAAACUGAAAACUAUUAUUUCUAUAUAAGUACAGUAUGUUCACUGCUCAAAAUAUAUAACAUACACAUUCAUAAAGCUUUCCAGCAAUUCAAAAUCAUAAAUAUUUCAUUCGUACAUGGAACAGAUUUAUGAACAAAAUAAUCCAUAGAUCAUAGUUCCCAAAUACUAACAGACUGACAUCGGUCCUCAACCAGAACCUAUUAACUAUCUCUGUUUCUAACUCAGAAAACUAUCUCUGUUUCUGCACCACCCCUGGUUGUGAUGCUCGCUAACGCAGGUCGUGGAGAAGUGCAGGCUUGCUCAUCCCUUCCCGUCUCUGCUCUCGCAUUCAACACACGCCAGCGAAUACACAGAGACCUGCUCCGGUUCCGCGGACCACGCCGCAUCUGGCACCAGACGGGCCCGAAAUUUCCACCGCCAUUUUCGCGGAACUGAGAUCAGAGACCACCGCAGGCGUACAGACGGAGCAUCUACCGGACCGACCUAGAGGGGGGUUAGGACGGAGGACUCACAUGGCGUCCUCCUCGGAGAUCCGGCGGUUGAGGGCCCGGGCGACGCGGCGCACCAGCGAGACGACAUCCUGCUCGCCGGCAGCGAGGCCCGGCAUUGCGAGGCGGCGCGGGGAGGGGGCCGGGCUUGGACUGCAUGGUGCGCGGGCUGAUCAGGUGGGUGGGGGAUCGCCGGAUUGGCAUGGGGAGGAGGAGCAGGGAGCCGCCAGAUCCGGCGACACUAAUUUCGGGGCCUGCAGCAGUCGAGGGGCGAGGGGAUCUGGUGAGGGGUGAGGGGAAGGAAGGCUGGCGGCGGGAGGGGAGACGAGGGGGACGGUGUGGAGAUAGGGUUAGGGUUAGAAUUACGGGGAAGGGUCUUUACUUUAUAUCUUAUUCACAU